rnacentral:lncRNA from 1 species
UGGGUCCAAAACAACGUCAACAACUACGUGGAUGACGUCAAGUUCCGUUACGUAUCUGUUGGGAACGAAGUGAAGAUCUUUGACUCUUACUCACAAUUUCUAGUCCCUGCCAUGGAAAAUAUUGACCGGGCGGUAUUAGGAUCCGGACUCGGCGGUCGUAUUAAGGUAUUACCACCAAAACUUUUGGCAUUUUAAAUUAUAAGUUUUCUCUUCUGCUCACCAUUUAAUUAAUUUUUACUUUAGUUUACAAUUCGCAAAAUAUUUUGCAAAAUAUUUUUUUUUUCCUGGUCACCAAUUCGUUAAUUUUAUUUUUGUUCACAGUUAGCAAAAUUAUCUAAUAAUCAAAGAAAUAUUUAUUUUCUAAUUGUAAAUCUUGUUUUGAAAACGUAAGUGCGUUUGAAAUGAAACAAUGGAACCGCUAAAUUGUCUUUUUAUUUUAUACGAAAUUUGGUAGCAUGCAUGUAUCUUUAUUGCGUUUGAAACAUUACGUUUUGUUGUAAAUGCUUGAUUCUUAAUAGGUAUCAACAGCGAUAGACAUGGGAGUGCUCGGAGAGUCUUACCCACCUUCAAAAGGUUCGUUUAAAGGAGAAGUAAUGGUGCUCAUGGAACCAAUCAUACGUUUCUUGGUAAACAAGAAAUCUCCUUUACACUUAAACCUCUACACUUACUUCAGCUACGCGGGCAAUCCAGACCAAAUCCGACUCGAUUACGCUCUCUUCACGGCUUCUCCAGGAACCGUCUCAGACCCUCCAAGAUCUUACCAGAACCUAUUCGAUGCGAUGCUCGAUGCGGUGCAUUCGGCUCUAGAGAGAUCUGGUGGUGAAUCGUUGGAUGUUGUCGUGUCGGAGACUGGAUGGCCAACGGAAGGAGGAACCGAGACUAAUCUGGAGAAUGCGAGGAUUUAUAGCAAUAAUUUGAUUAAUCAUGUGAAGAAUGGGACACCGAAGAGACCAGGGAAAGAAAUCGAGACUUAUUUAUUUGCGAUGUAUGAUGAGAAUAAGAAGCCUACUCCUCCUGAUGUUGAGAAGUUUUGGGGAUUAUUUCAUCCGAACAAGCAGCCUAAGUACGAGGUUAACUUUGGUUGAGCCAAACCAAUAUGUCAUCGAGGGAAUGCUAUAAUUUCUAUUUUGAUAAUAUAAUAUAUAAAUGUAAGGAAUAAAGUUGGAGAGAUUUGUCAUGAAUAAUAUAUAAACUCGAGACUGUGAUUAUUUUAAUGUUUAUGUUGUUAAUUAUGAUCAAUGAUCAUCGUAAGGAAUAUAAUUGUUAUAGCCUGAGUCUCUACGACUCUACGUUUAUUUUGUAUAAAUACGUACCCGAACUACCCACAAAUAGUGAAAAAAAUUCAACAAGCUUUAUUUUGGUAAAUUAAAUUGUGCAUGACGCAAAAGGGGUGAUUUUUUCAAGUUCAUAAAUUUUAUUAAGUAAUGAGGAGGAGAAAAGACUAAUCUAAUCAAAUUACAGUUUUCUGCCUGAUGAAAAAGUAUGGACCAAAUGCCAAAAACAAAAAAGAUAUUACAGAAAAACAAAAAUCCACGAUGAUAUAUGUUUUUCACUUGUUUUCUUUUAGUUGUUUAAAAUUCUACAAUUAUAUAUGAAAUAUUACGUUAAUAUUAAAAAAAAAAAAGAAGUUUCACAUCGAGAUGAAACAUUAGACGUACCACAAUUUAAGGAAAUACCAUUAUCAACACGGCGUCUAUUUUUGUCGUCCAAAACUGAAAUCGACCCCAAGAAGAAAUUUCUUUAGCUAUUAUGAUCACUACACAAACACCAAACUUAAUCUUAGUUUGUGGUGUGAGUUUUAUACUAAUUAAUUUCUUCAUAAUAUUUUGCACUGAUUUUCUAGGCUACUAUAUAUGAGGUACCUACGACAUAAUAUUAUGAGGAUAUAUACAAUGUAUAUCACAAUUGCUAACUGCGUCAAUCCAUCGGGGGUGUAAUACGUUUUUUUUCCUGGGUAUAUAUGUUUAAUAUGUAUGAAAAAAUUGGCUAUGAAGUUAAUGUUUGAAAUCCGUGACAAAAUUGAUGAUAGAAAAUCCGAUGAUUAUACCCAUUGUAAUUUGUUACGAUGAUUACCUUAAAGUACAUAGAGAAAUGCCGUAUUUUUUUCUUUUUUUCUUUAGAAUGAUUCGCAGAUAGAAAAAAAAUUGGAUUCUAGAGUGUAGCGUUUCAUUAACGUGAUUUAAGGUGCCGUUGAUGAUUUCAAGAACUAUUAGUCUAUUACUAACGGAAGUCAUCUAACCAAAAUUGACGAUGGCUACUUUCUUGAAUGAGUAAUGACCUAAUAAGGAUACAAGUCAAUGGUCCACGAUCGACGUGUGGUUAACGGCUUAUACCAUGAUUCCAAAAUGCAAGUCCUCAUCACAUUUAAUCUUAGACUUUGUAUCGAGGGGGCGUGUAUUAGGGAUCCGUUAUUUCGGAAUAUUUUAGAUAUUCGAUGUCUAAAAUCUAUGAUGGUUUUAUUCAAAAAUAAAAUAAAAUCUUUGAUGGUUAACAUAAUAUAUAACUGCUUUUGGUUUUGAAGAUUACUAUCUCGAACAUGUCCAUCAAAAGUUUUUCAAGACGGCACAGGUUUUUAGACGAAAUCUAAUAAAAUAAUAAUAAAAAAGAUAGAGGUUCAUGGUCCAGGUUCUUUCCGACGAUCCUAAAGAGACAGUAUCAUUACACGUGGAACAUUUUGAUUGGUCUAAAAGAAUAAUUUUCGAAUUUAAAAAAAUUAUUAUUAUAUUCGGAUGAACUCUUUUAUCAAGGAUUCACUGAUGGACAUGUUCUCACAAUUCUUUUGACUAUAAAAUAAAGAUUAUAAUAUUGGAUCAGAUAGUUUGAUCCAGGCAAUUUAUUUAUUUUAAUUUUUUGAGAAAAGGGAUUUUCUUUUUGGCUUAGAAAGGGGUUAUAUUCAUUGAAAUUUUUUAAAAAAAAAUUAAUUGAAUUCGUUGAUUGAAAAUUUUAGUACUUGAGAUAUGAGUAUUUGACUUUGAUGAGGCGGUGGAGGGUUCGUCUUGGUCAAGCUAGUAAUGAUUUGUAGUGUCUAGCUAGUUAGGCCCUAUAAAAAACUACAUGCAAAGCCGGCUGGAGACAUGAUGUGCCACAGCUCGGUUCAAUUCCAUAUCCCAUUAUUCAAGACAUUUAUUUUAAAAACAAAAGUCGAGAAAAAUAAUCAAAAAAUAAAAAUAAAAAAAUACAUACCCAUAACAAAUCUACCAAAGAAAAUUAUACAAAGAGGCUCUAAAAUAGAUUGCAAAGCAAGAAACCAAAACAAGAAGACUAGAUUUUUAAAGGGUUCAAAAAUAUUUCGCCCUACAUGUAUAGAAUUACUCACUCUUAAAGACUUUUCAAAGCAGUGAGAUAUUCAUGAACGGUGAUUUAAUGUAUAUAACAUUCCAAAACUAGUGAUGAUAUGACGCGAUGACUUUGUUUCAUUUUCAUUGACUUGUCUCACCGAUUCACUCUAUAAAUUAGGCAGCAAAAUGCUGCGAAUUCUAAAAUAUCUAAGCAUAAAAAAAAACAUCGAUAGCUAGCUUAACAUCAUCUUUAAUUGUUAUUUCAUGAAGAUGUCUAAUGAAUCGAGCUCACUACCACUGUUACUGCUUCUUCUCAGCUUCCUAAUGGCUUCCUUCUUCGACACGGCAGGUUCUCAAUCAUCUUUUUUUUUUAACCUAUUGAUCAUAUCAUACUAAUCUCUUUGAUUCUUGUUACUAACGAUUCUUAAUAUGAAAAAUGAAGCUGCGCAAAUCGGAGUGUGCUACGGAAGAAAUGGAAACAACCUGCCACGUGCGUCAGACGUGGUAUCACUUUUCCGGCAGAGGAACAUCCGGAGGAUGAGAAUUUACGACCCAAACCAAGAGACUCUCGCCGCUCUUCGUGGCUCCAACAUCGAGCUUAUCCUCGAUGUUCCCAAACACAGAUCUCCAGACUGUCGCCUCCAGCCAAGCAGGAGCCGACAAAUGGGUCCAAGACAACGUCAGAAACUAUGCAAACGGUGUCAGAUUCCGCUACAUUUCGGUCGGGAACGAGGUUCAACCAUCAGACUCACGCGCUAGGUAUGUCCUCCCUGCGAUGCAGAACAUCGAGAGAGCAGUGUCAGGUCUAGGGAUCAAAGUCUCCACAGCGAUAGACACCAAAGGCAUAACAGGUUUCCCGCCUUCGAACGGUGCGUUCACACCGGAGUUUAGAAACUUUAUCGCGCCGGUGAUAGCUUUCUUGGCAAGCAAGCAAUCUCCUCUGCUCGUGAAUAUAUACCCUUAUUUCAGUCACAUUAACAACAUGAGAGACAUCAAUUUAGACUACGCUCUGCUUACACCGUCUACUGUUGUCAACGACGGGCAAUUCUCGUACCGAAACCUCUUCCACGCACAACUAGACACUGUUUACGCAGCAUUGGAGAAAACGGGAGGCGGAUUGGUGGAGAUCGUUGUGUCGGAGAGCGGUUGGCCAACGGCGGGAGGAACGGCGACGAGUGUGGAGAAUGCGAGGACUUAUGUGAACAACUUGAUACAAACUGUGAAGAGUGGUUCUCCGAGGAGGCCAGGUAAGGCUGUGGAGACUUAUAUAUUCGCUAUGUUCGAUGAGAAUCAAAAGGGUCCUGAUGAGUCUGAGAAGUUCUUUGGACUUUUUCUUCCGAAUCAGCAGCCUAAGUACGGAGUCAAUUUCGAUUAAUAUCAUUGAAGACAGUUUCAGAUAGUGAUAUGAGAUACGUAUAUGAAAUUUAAGGACUUGUAUUGUAUUCCAAAGAGUGGGGACUUGUGUUGUAAUAAUUAUAAGAAAUAAUGAAUCAGAAUAAAUAAAGAUAAUACAUACAAGUAUGUUUUACUUCAUCGGUUUUGAUAUACAACUUGAAAGCUACUUUUGUAGAAAACUCACAUUCUUAAGACUUUUCAACGCAUAGAUGUAAUGUAAGGAAAUAUGUAUUGGUAAAUAGUGGGUAAUAUAUGAUACGAUGAAUUUUGAUUCAUUCGUUGUAUGAUGUGUCAUAUUGUAAUCUUAUGAUCGAAAAGGUUAUACAUUUUUUAGAAAAAAAAAUCCGUUCUAAUUGCUAUUAUAUAACUAUCGAAACAUAUAUAGCACUAUGUGAUAGCAAUUCAGAAAACAAAUUCAGAAUGGAAUCUCAGGCCAGAGGAAAAAGAUGGUGGAUUCGAUCCACUAUGUCUAGAAGACUCAUAAACAACUUUGUUGAGGUUCUUCCGUGGAGGUUAGACGGAUUAUAUAUGCGAUCGAUUGCCACUUAGUCAGAAAAAGGAAGACGAAAGAAUGAAAAACAAAAAAACAAAAAAUGAAAGACUAAUAAAUAACUAAUAAGUGUAUUAAGUACACGCUGUUUUGGGUAUCAAAUCUGGCCCAAAUGAGACCUGGGCCGUGGGUAAAACCAUUUGGGCCUUAUAUCAAUGGAAUUAAAAAAAAGUUUUUGAACCUUUCGGUGCCCUUGUAAAAGGACCACUUGCGAGAUAGCUAAAUCAAAGAACGAAACGGCUACGCAUAGUUACAUACAUAUUUUUGUUUACACUUUACGUUUACGAGAUACAAGUGUAAUUACAACAAAUAUUUAAAAAGAAAAAAAAAAAUACAACAAACAAAACUACUAACCUAAUACAGUAAAACCUCUAUAAAUUAAUAAUGUUAGGACCAUGAUAUUUUAUUAAUUUAUCGUGAUAUUAAUUUAUCUAAUUAUUAAUUUAUAGAAAAAAAUUGACUUCCACAUAUAAUUUUUUAAAAAUUUAAUUAGAAUAAUAUUAUAUUUUAAAUUUUUUUAACAAAUCUCAUAGUAUAAAUUAUGAUUAACAAUCAGAACUAUCGUAAUAAAAUAGUUUUAAUACCAUAUUGAAAUUAUCCAUGUAAAAUAUACAUGUUCAUAAGUUUAAAAUUUAUUAAAAAAUUAUGGCUACUGUCAAUAUUAUUGAUGAUAAAUUUGAAAAUAACACUACAAUACAUUUAAAAAUAUUUACAUGUAAGAAAAUCAAUUAUCACAUCUAAAAAUCAUCAUAAAUUUUAAAUGUAUAUAGUAAAACAGCAAUAAGAGCUACUGAUAUAAUAAUUAGAGAGAUGAGAAUCAAUGAGAUUUCAACUUUAAAUAAAAACAAACACAUUAGUCAUAUUUUAAAAUAUUAUAUUUACAUAUAUUUGCAUAAAUUUAUAUAAUUAUUAAUUUAUGUUUUUGUUGGAACCGUAUAUUUACAUAAGGGUUUCAAAAAAUAUUAUUAUCUUAUUAUUUUAUCGAAUUUGAUGGAUUUUUACAUUGGCCCGAUUUGAGACCAAUAAAAUUUAUUAAUUUAUAGUGAUUAUUAAUUUAUCGAGUAUUAAUUUAUAGAGGUUCUACUGUAUGACAACCACAUCAUAUUUACGAAUAUGGCACUGGUCGGUUUAGCAAACGAUGUGCUAUUUGUUAGGAUUUGAUUCAUUUUGUAAACGACCAAGACCAGUAAUCUCUGAGCACACACUAAUGCAACUAUUUAGGGAUAUUUUAUCAAAUCACUAAAUGGUAUUUUCCUCAAAAAACAUCAGUACCAUUUAUUAUUUGAGUUACGUAAAUCAUUAAUACAAAAGCAUAACAAGAUGAAAAAGUCAAAAAUUACCAUUAAUAUCAUCACAGCUUAUUUUAUUUUAAUUUUUCGAUUGAUUUUUUAUAUAUAUAAUAGACCAUUCUGGGUUAAUUUUGAUUUUUGUGAGUUUCAACGCGGAAUUAGUUUGCAUUAAUCAAUGAAACGAAACUUCGUUUCGUAUAUUUAUAGUAUUUGAGUUGCCUAAAGCAUAACAUGAAGAAAAAAAAGUCAAAAGUUUAUCAAUCCCCAUUAAUUACUACCAGAGCUUAAAAUGUGUAGUUACGUAAUGGUAAUUUGUUCUUAUUUUCGUAAAUGUAUGAAGCAUGUUACAGUUAGCUAUUAUAUGUAACAGGAAAAUUUUGGGAAAAUUUUGGGCUUCUUUUUAUUGAUUGAGAUACAUUAGUUGGGACUUGCGAUGUCUCGGGAUUUUCGUAUUGCACUUGAAAGAAAUUAAAUAUCAUGAAUUCAUAAAAAAAUAAAAUUAUGUCCUAUUAAUGGAUCAUCAAGAGUAGUUAACUAUAAAUAGCACGCACUUGCCCAGUCUGGAUUGAUCAUCUGUGACGAUUGUAUAUAUGUGAAAGCAUAUUGUACGAGUUUUGGAAAUGUAGAACAUAUUCGAAAGCAAUUCUAGAUAACAUUUAUUUUUCCAAAGCCUUUCUGCAAAGAAAAAAUCAUUUAUUUUACUAGCACAUACUCUUUCUCUCCGUUUUUUAUUAAUUGUCGUUUUAAAAAAUUCUGUUUGUUUUAAAUUAGUUGUCGUUUUCAGUUUUCAAUACAACAUUUAUUAGUUUUUUAUUUUUUAUAAUUAUUUUUAUUAUGUAAUUUGUUUUAUUAUUGGUUGAAUUGUGUUUAAAUAGAUAAUUAAUGAUGUUUUUAUAUUGAAAAACUAAUAUAAUUAAUGUUUUCUUAAUCUGUGUGCAUAACUCCAAAACGACACUUAAAAAAAUACGGAGGGAGUAAUAGUUUUUUUUUAAAAAUCUACGUAAAUGAUUAAUGCUCAAAAAAAAAAAAAUACACACAACGUCUUCAUUUUCUUAAUGUUUGGUACAUUUUGUUUGAAAUUUAUAAUCAAGUACGCAAUGGUCCGUUGGUAUCUAUGGACUAUGGUGUUGAUCUAACGGCUGCGUUUUGGUAUCGGGUGAGUAUAUAUAUGGGUGAGUAGUAGAUAAUAUUACUAUUUGGGGCUUGUUUGACGCUAACAAUACGUUGGUGUUCAAGCUAUAAUUUAUCAAUUAUUGUAUGAUGACUUAACGAGACAUCUAAAUUGCAAAUACCCAAAACUUGUAUGGUUCAUUUCAUUCUAUACGUAAAAUUAAUAUUGCGUUUAAAUUUUUUGCUUUUGCAUUAGGUUUAUAGUAGUGUACUAUAAUCAGAGCCGGUCCUGAGAGCAAGCAAUCCAAGCAUGGGCUUGCGGCCUUAUAUUUUAUAUAAAAUAUUUCGGCCCUAAAUUUGUUAAAAGUCUUGGUAGUCUAGUGGUAUAACGCGAAAUCUGCUGUAGUUGGGUGUCGAGAGUUCGAAACUCAAUUUUGUAUUUUUUUUAAUAGUAAACCAGCCAAUAAGGUAAUAGAGUAAAAUAAUUAAUUUAACAUAAGAAUUUCUAAUUAAAACCUAAUUUUUUAAUCAGAACACCAUAACUUCUUUAGUUCUUCCUCUCCCAAGUCUUUCACGGCUCACGAAGACACCAUCGACUUCUUCUUCUCUGCUUAUCCUCAGCCUUCUUUUGAUUCUUCCUCCUGGUACGUUGAUUAUCAAUCUCUUACUUACUUAUUAUUUUUCUCCAAAAGUCUCUUUUUUUAUAUGAUCAAGUAUUCAAGUGAUUGGCUUUCUUUGAUUGAAAUGUUGGGUGUAUACAAAUACAAUCAGUUAGAUUGGUCUUUGUCUUAAAUCUUAAUAGAUUAGAGUAAUGGAAAUUCCAUUGUUAUGUAGAUUCUGAGUAACUGGUUUAUUGACAUGGUAAUCCAAAUUGCUUUGUUUGAUCAAUCUAUUGUUGUUCACUUGCUAUUCUACUAUAUUGGGAGAGCUUUGUUUUAAAAGUAAAAAAAAAAUGCUUUAGGUAUCUGUGUGGUAUCAAUCUAUCAACCCAUAAAAUCGUUGCUCUUCAAAUUGUAAUGUGUGGUAUCUAACCAUCGUGUGACUCAUCUACUAAUCAUGUGUACCUUUUCUACUUGUUUAUUCAUGGUGACUCAACUAUUUAACAAAUAUUUUAAAUGCACACAGAAACAUGUCUUCGAAAAGAAUAAAGAAAGUGAAAGGUGGUGCAGAGAAACUAAGGGACAAGAAAAAACAAGAAGAGGAGAGAAAAUCUUUAGCUAAUUCGAUGCUAAGGUAUGUAACAAGAUCUGAAACUCCUAAAAUUGAUGAGGUUUUAGAAGAGAAUGAGAAUGGGGAUGGGAAUGAGAAUGAGAAUGUUAAUGCUGAGAACGUCCAGAACGAAAACGAAGAUGAAGUUAUGAAAGACAAUGAAGAGAAGGAAGCGUUUGAUGUUAAGGAAUAUCUAAUAGAGGGGGAUAUCAAUGAUCCUGGAAAUUGGGAAAGAGUUGAUAAUAAAUUGAGAGAUUUUCUGGUUGAUAAGGGUCCAAUAGAAAGGCUUCCAGUUGAUUAUCAUUUUCCAAGAGAUUCUAUUGGCAGAAGUUUUUCUCAUUUGUCUUAUACAAGAAGAAUAGCUAACGGUGAAAAGCAAGAUAGGCGAUGGUUAAUUUACUCAACAGCAAAAGAUAAGGCCUUUUGUUUUUGUUGUAAGUUAUUUCCGCAGGACAAUACUGCUUAUCAGCUGGCAACUAAUGGAUACAAUGAUUGGAGAAAUAUUUCACAAACGCUUAAGGAACAUGAAAGAAGCCAUAAGCAUGUCAUUUGCAUGACUCAGUGGAUGGAUCUAGAAGUGAGAUUACGGACAAGUCAGACUAUUGAUAAGCAUAUCCAAGAAGAGAUUAACAAAGAAAAAAAGCAUUGGAGAGAUGUGUUGUUGAGGACAAUUGCAUUGGUAAAGGGUCUAGCUAAAAAGAAUAUAGCAUUUCGUGGACGCAGCGAGAAAAUUCAUGAGGAUGAUAAUGGAAAUUUUUUGGGUAUGAUGGAGGUAUUUGCAGAUUUUGAUCCUGUGAUCAAAGAACACUUUAGACGAAUUGAUAAACGUGAAAUCCGUUAUCAUUAUCUUAGUCACAGAAUUCAGGAUGAGUUGAUUAAGAUGCUUGGGACUGAGGUGAAAAAAAUGAUAUUGGAGAAGAUACAAUGUGCAAAGUAUUUUUCGGUUAUUCUUGAUACUACUCCUGAUUGUAGUAACCGGGAACAGAUGUCUCUAGUUAUCCGAUGUGUGGAUAUAUCUGACACCUCACCAAAGAUUCAAGAGUUUUUUUUGUCAUUCUUAGAGGUCAAAGAUAAAACCGGAGAAGGACUUUUUGAAACCCUUCAGGAUGUGCUCCUUAAUCUUGGAUUGAGUAUUGAUGACAUUCGAGGACAAGGUUAUGAUAAUGGGUCAAACAUGAAAGGAAAAAAUAAAGGAGUACAAAAGAGGUUGCUUGAAAUUAAUUCAAGAGCGGUUUACACACCAUGUGGCUGUCAUAGUUUGAAUCUUUUACUCACAGAUAUCGCUUCCUCGUCGACGAUAGCAGUAUCAUUUUUUGGAAUUAUUCAGCGCAUCUAUUGUUUGUUUGCCUCUUCUACAAACAAUUGUGAAGUUUUCAGAGAUAUUGUGAAUGGUAUUACAGUUAAGCCAUUAUCACAAACUCGUUGGGAGAGCCGCAUUAAAAGCAUCAAAGCUAUACGAUUUCAAGCUCCUCAGAUUCGAGAUGCUUUGUUUCAUUUAGCAGAAAACAGUGACAAUCCAAAAACAAGAAGUGAAGCUGAGUCUCUUGCAAUGAGCGAAGUCCAUGGAAUUGGGAGUUUUGAGUUUUUGUUUGGAAUGAUUAUCUGGUAUGAACUUUUGUUUGUUGUGAACAAAGUAAGCAAGAUCUUGCAGUCAGAAGAUAUGGAUAUUGAUAUUGCUCUUUCUCAACUUGAAGGUCUAGUUGCUUUUUUAAAAAACUAUAGAGAGACGGGUUUUGAUGCAGCAAAAGGAGAAGCUGAACGGAUUGCUAUUGAGAUGGAAGUCGAACCUGUAUUCUCUGUCAAAGCAAAACGUCUUAGGAAAAGGAAACGACAUCAUGAUGAAGAGCCUGAGAUAAGUGGGGAAGAUGUGAUAUUAGCAGCAGAAGAAAAUUUCAGGAUCAACUACUUCAUCAAAAUCGUGGAUCAAGGUUUGGUUUCUCUUGAGACAAGGUUUGAUCAACUUCAAAGUUAUGAAAAGACUUUUGGAUUUUUAUUUGACUUGAAGAAGCUGAUGUUAGCAAAUGAUGACAAGUUGAUGGCUUCUUGUCUUAACCUGGAAGCUUCUCUGAAACAUGGUAAUCAUUUUGAUAUUGAUGGUAAUGAUUUAUUUUUGGAGCUAAAGCUUUUAAAAGGAGCUUUACCAAAAGAGAUUAAGAAAGUAGUCGAGAUACUUGAUUAUUUGAAAAAGUUGGAAAGCUGUUAUCCAAAUACAUGGACUGCAUACCGUAUAAUGAUGACGAUUCCAGUUUCAGUUGCCUCAGCAGAAAGAAGUUUCUCAAAGCUAAAACUAAUAAAGUCUUAUCUACGGUCCUCUAUGUCACAAGAAAGAUUGAAUGGAUUGUCGAUAUUGUCGAUUGAAAGGAGAAUGGCUGAAAAACUUGACUAUACAUGCUUGAUGAAUGAGUUUGCAGGAAGGAAUGCAAGAAGAAUCAAAUUUCAAAAUUAAUGUACCUAUUUUUUUGUUUUUAAAUAUUUUAUAGUUUUUGUUUAACAUAUUUAUGAAUUAUGAUUCUUUUUUAAUUUUAGAAAAAAAUAUUACAAAACGGCCCAUUUUUUUUUUAGCUUGCGGCCACUUAAAACUCAAGGCCGGCUCUGACUAUAAUCUUUGUUAUUAUAACAAUAGAACAGUAAAAUUAAUUGAUUAAUCUGCUACUGCAUGUGCAUGUAUUUUAUAAAUUGCGCCACCAUGCAUGGCUUAGAAAUCCUAGUAAAAGAGAGGAUUUCUAAGCAUCAGCAAAUAAUGGUAUCAAGCCAACUGAGCGCGCGGUUGCCGAAAAUAAAAUCCCACAAUCCAUACACGUCAAAAACCAGUUGUUUUGGACAAAAAUUUCUUUAUUGAAAUUAUUAUUUUAAAAAUUCAACAAUAUGGAUGAGUCAUUGUGACAUCGAUUUUCUAUUUACAAAAAGAUGGAAUUAUGAAAUAUUGUUGAUACUUACAAAAACUAGUCGAGAAAUUUAUUUAGGGUUGAAUUUUGAGAUUUAUAUACAUUUGUUAAGAAAAAAAAUAAUAGAAAAUGGGAUCCAGUUUUGAAUAUAGUCAUUUUUAAUAAGGACAUUUUGAAGAAAAAAAAUCACCAGUUUGGAUAAGUCAGCAAAUAUCUCACCUUUUUGUAAAUAGAAAAGCGAGGUUACAAUGACUCAUCCAUUCUGUUGAGAAUUCAUUCUCUUACUGUCAAUCUAUUAAUUCUGCGUGCCAUUUGUAAUAUCGUUUAUGCUUUUUAGAGAUAAUACAAAUGUAUCAAGUUUGCGACUUUUGAUUUUAGGAUACAAUCAUACAAGUAAAGUUUCCCGUUUUAUACAUUUUUAAGAAGGUUUAGUUUUUGGUCGUAUCAUAUGCGUUUCUAAAUGAGGAAACCUUUCACCUAACGAAUGACCCAAUGACUCCUCGAACCGAGUAAAACGACUCAUGUCUAUAAUGCCUUUUUACUGAGUGAAAUGUAACAUCACCGCCCUGUUUUUACAUGACAUUUCACUAUAAAUAAUGAUAUCACGUACUGAGCAAUAAAACAGAAGACAACUUAAAACAGAAGACAAAACACAUCGCUCAAAAGUCUCUCCAAAUAUGUCGAGUGUGAACAGUACCACCUCGCGAGGCAAGCUGACUGAAGAUGAGAAGAAGCGCACUCUCAAGAAACUCCAGAAAGAGGCGUACAAGGCCGUUCUAUGCGCCUACGAUGCAGAAAAUUCGGUAAAAUUAUAUACAGGUCUUAGUUAUGUGUCAUAUGUUAUGUAUUUUUCUUGGGAUAAAAUCUUAUAAUCCAUGCAGAGACUCGGUGACUUAAAAAAUGUUUUGAAAAUAAAGAACAAGCCUGCAGAGAAAAAGCGGAAGAAGGCAUAUGAAGCUGUUAUCCUAGCAUUAAGGCUAGAUAAGACUCAGAGCCGGUCCUGAGAGCAAGCAAUCCAAGCAUGGGCUUGCGGCCUUAUAUUUUAUAUAAAAUAUUUCGGCCCCAAAUUUGUUAAAAGUCUUGGUAGUCUAGUGGUAUAACGCGAAAUCUGCUGUGGUUGGGUGUCGAGAGUUCGAAACUCAAUUUUGUAUUUUUUUAAUAGUAAACCAGCCAAUAAGGUAAUAGAGUAAAAUAAUUAAUUUAACAUAAGAAUUUCUAAUUAAAACCUAAUUUUUUAAUCAGAACACCAUAACUUCUUUAGUUCUUCCUCUCCCAAGUCUUUCACGGCUCACGAAGACAUCAUCGACUUCUUCUUCUCUGCUUAUCCUCAGCCUUCUUUGAUUCUUCCUCCUGGUACGUUGAUUAUCAAUCUCUUACUUACUUAUUAUUUUUCUCCAAAAGUCUCUUUUUUUAUAUGAUCAAAUAUUCAAGUGAUUGGCUUUCUUUGAUUGAAGUGUUGGGUGUAUACAAAUACAAUCAGUUAGAUUGGUCUUUGUCUUAAAUCUUAAUAGAUUAGAGUAAUGGAAAUUCCAUUGUUAUGUAGAUUCUGAGUAACUGGUUUAUUGCCAUGGUAAUCCAAAUUGCUUUGUUUGAUCAAUCUAUUGUUGUUCACUUGCUAUUCUACUAUAUUGGGAGAGCUUUGUUUUAAAAGUAAAAAAAAAAUGCUUUAGGUAUCUGUGUGGUAUCAAUCUAUCAACCCAUAAAAUCGUUGCUCUUCAAAUUGUAAUGUGUGGUAUCUAACCAUCGUGUGACUCAUCUACUAAUCAUGUGUACCUUUUCUACUUGUUUAUUCAUGGUGACUCAACUAUUUAACAAAUAUUUUAAAUGCACACAGAAACAUGUCUUCGAAAAGAAUAAAGAAAGUGAAAGGUGGUGCAGAGAAACUAAGGGACAAGAAAAAACAAGAAGAGGAGAGAAAAUCUUUAGCUAAUUCGAUGCUAAGGUAUGUAACAAGAUCUGAAACUCCUAAUUGAUGAGGUUUUAGAAGAGAAUGAGAAUGGGGAUGGGAAUGAGAAUGAGAAUGUUAAUGCUGAGAACGUCCAGAACGAAAACGAAGAUGAAGUUAUGAAAGACAAUGAAGAGAAGGAAGCGUUUGAUGUUAAGGAAUAUCUAAUAGAGGGGGAUAUCAAUGAUCCUGGAAAUUGGGAAAGAGUUGAUAAUAAAUUGAGAGAUUUUCUGGUUGAUAAGGGUCCAAUAGAAAGGCUUCCAGUUGAUUAUCAUUUUCCAAGAGAUUCUAUUGGCAGAAGUUUUUCUCAUUUGUCUUAUACAAGAAGAAUAACUAACGGUGAAAAGCAAGAUAGGCGAUGGUUAAUUUACUCAACAGCAAAAGAUAAGGCCUUUUGUUUUUGUUGUAAGUUAUUUCCGCAGGAAAAUACUGCUUAUCAGCUGGCAACUAAUGGAUACAAUGAUUGGAGAAAUAUUUCACAAACGCUUAAGGAACAUGAAAGAAGCCAUAAGCAUGUCAUUUGCAUGACUCAGUGGAUGGAUCUAGAAGUGAGAUUACGGACAAGUCAGACUAUUGAUAAGCAUAUCCAAGAAGAGAUUAACAAAGAAAAAAAGCAUUGGAGAGAUGUGUUGUUGAGGACAAUUGCAUUGGUAAAGGGUCUAGCUAAAAAGAAUAUAGCAUUUCGUGGACGCAGCGAGAAAAUUCAUGAGGAUGAUAAUGGAAAUUUUUUGGGUAUGAUGGAGGUAUUUGCAGAUUUUGAUCCUGUGAUCAAAGAACACUUUAGACGAAUUGAUAAACGUGAAAUCCGUUAUCAUUAUCUUAGUCACAGAAUUCAGGAUGAGUUGAUUAAGAUGAUUGGGACUGAGGUGAAAAAAAUGAUAUUGGAGAAGAUACAAUGUGCAAAGUAUUUUUCGGUUAUUCUUGAUACUACUCCUGAUUGUAGUAACCGGGAACAGAUGUCUCUAGUUAUCCGAUGUGUGGAUAUAUCUGACACCUCACCAAAGAUUCAAGAGUUUUUUUUGUCAUUCUUAGAGGUCAAAGAUAAAACCGGAGAAGGACUUUUUGAAACCCUUCAGGAUGUGCUCCUUAAUCUUGGAUUGAGUAUUGAUGACAUUCGAGGACAAGGUUAUGAUAAUGGGUCAAACAUGAAAGGAAAAAAUAAAGGAGUACAAAAGAGGUUGCUUGAAAUUAAUUCAAGAGCGGUUUACACACCAUGUGGCUGUCAUAGUUUGAAUCUUUUACUCACAGAUAUCGCUUCCUCGUCGACGAUAGCAGUAUCAUUUUUUGGAAUUAUUCAGCGCAUCUAUUGUUUGUUUGCCUCUUCUACAAACAAUUGUGAAGUUUUCAGAGAUAUUGUGAAUGGUAUUACAGUUAAGCCAUUAUCACAAACUCGUUGGGAGAGCCGCAUUAAAAGCAUCAAAGCUAUACGAUUUCAAGCUCCUCAGAUUCGAGAUGCUUUGUUUCAUUUAGCAGAAAACAGUGACAAUCCAAAAACAAGAAGUGAAGCUGAGUCUCUUGCAAUGAGCGAAGUCCAUGGAAUUGGGAGUUUUGAGUUUUUGUUUGGAAUGAUUAUCUGGUAUGAACUUUUGUUUGUUGUGAACAAAGUAAGCAAGAUCUUGCAGUCAGAAGAUAUGGAUAUUGAUAUUGCUCUUUCUCAACUUGAAGGUCUAGUUGCUUUUUUAAAAAACUAUAGAGAGACGGGUUUUGAUGCAGCAAAAGGAGAAGCUGAACGGAUUGCUAUUGAGAUGGAAGUCGAACCUGUAUUCUCUGUCAAAGCAAAACGUCUUAGGAAAAGGAAACGACAUCAUGAUGAAGAGCCUGAGAUAAGUGGGGAAGAUGUGAUAUUAGCAGCAGAAGAAAAUUUCAGGAUCAACUACUUCAUCACAAUCGUGGAUCAAGGUUUGGUUUCUCUUGAGACAAGGUUUGAUCAACUUCAAAGUUAUGAAAAGACUUUUGGAUUUUUAUUUGACUUGAAGAAGCUGAUGUUAGCAAAUGAUGACAAGUUGAUGGCUUCUUGUCUUAACCUGGAAGCUUCUCUGAAACAUGGUAAUCAUUUUGAUAUUGAUGGUAAUGAUUUAUUUUUGGAGCUAAAGCUUUUAAAAGGAGCUUUACCAAAAGAGAUUAAGAAAGUAGUCGAGAUACUUGAUUAUUUGAAAAAGUUGGAAAGCUGUUAUCCAAAUACAUGGACUGCAUACCGUAUAAUGAUGACGAUUCCAGUUUCAGUUGCCUCAGCAGAAAGAAGUUUCUCAAAGCUAAAACUAAUAAAGUCUUAUCUACGGUCCUCUAUGUCACAAGAAAGAUUGAAUGGAUUGUCGAUAUUGUCGAUUGAAAGGAGAAUGGCUGAAAAACUUGACUAUACAUGCUUGAUGAAUGAGUUUGCAGGAAGGAAUGCAAGAAGAAUCAAAUUUCAAAAUUAAUGUACCUAUUUUUUUGUUUUUAAAUAUUUUAUAGUUUUUGUUUAACAUAUUUAUGAAUUAUGAUUCUUUUUUAAUUUUAGAAAAAAAUAUUACAAAACGGUCCAUUUUUUUUUUAGCUUACGGCCACUUAAAACUCAGGGUCGGCUCUGCUUGUUGGAGAUACAAAUGUUCUCCGUAUAAGGCUACCAAAGUAAAAUAUAUAAAUAAUACCCUAGUUCAUCGCCUUUGCCAAUAAUAACAUGCAUAUAUAUAUAUAUAUAUAUCAUUGUCGUUUUUCGUUAUUAUUAUUUUGUGUGUGUUUAUUGUUUCCAUCAUCGUCGUUUGUUGAUAAACAAAAUAUCCUAUAUGCCAAUAAUAUGAUCUAUUAUAUUAUAUUAACAUUCUACUACAAUGUACCCUUUUUGUAUGCCUUCAUUUAUAAUAUUUAUUUAUAUCUUUGUUGCGUCAAUCACAAUUGCUUGAGGAAGAAGCAAAGUUGUCAAAAAGAAUAGCAUUAUAACCUAACAUAUUACAGGCCCAAAGCCCAAACUAGUCAGGCCUAGUUUCAGAAAUAUCGAUGUAAUUUAUACAACCGUCAAGUGUAAGAGAGAAUAAAUUGUGAAUUGAUGACGUCAUUUUCAUUUUCCAUCCUUUUAUAUAUAUAUAUACAUAUGAACAUCGCUCAUGGUCAGUUGAUUUCAAACUCUCUCUCUCUCGAUCCACCAUCUUUGGUUUAACAGUUCUUUUAUCGAUCAAUGAAUCUUCCAAUAGAUUUUCUGGUUCAUCGAGUUGAUGGUCGUUUCUUUGUUAAUUCAUUUGGCAGUCUUAAAAACAAUUUCAGUCCUCCCAACCACCGAAAUUUAUAAUGUGCUUUACCAAAAAAAAAAAAAUUGAUAAUGUGUUCGAAAAUCGAAACGCCAUCAUCCAAUAGAAACUUAAAAUAUUUGAAAGAGAAACAUAAGAAAAUUAUAAAGAACCAACUACCAAAUAGGCAAAAAGUAAAUACUAAGAGAAGAAACCACCAAAAUUAUGAAAAGAAAACAUCAUUAGACAUUCAUUAGUUUUCUGAGUUGGUAAAAAGGGAAAUAAAUAUUAUGUUUCAUGCAUAUGUAAAUUAGUAAAUACAUCACGUAAAUAGUUAAAUUUCGACAUUAAUUCACAUGCGAACUAAAAUAAUUAUUUUUUAUUACUGAGGUUGGGUUUAAAUUUGUAACAUUGGUUAUUUGGACAACAAAAUUUGAUGGGGACAAGUGAGAUUUUUCAUUGGGUGAAAGUGAUUUAAUUCCUCAUAAAUCUGAAAGGAUCAAAAAAAAAAAAAAAAUCUGAAUGGUGGCAACCGCCUUAAAGAUGUCACCACCUAAUACAUCAUUUAAUUUGUCGAUUUUUCAUUGGGUGCAGUGGUGCACCUCUAUUUCUGAGUCGUUAAGGAAACAAAAGAAGGUGUAACUAUGUGCAGCCCUUUAGUAAAUUUUCCUUUUAUGAAGAAAUCCAAAUAUUCAAACUUUUCUAAUUCCACUGAAAAAGUCCCAAUUAGUUGAAGUAACAUUAAUUGAAAAUUAUUUUUUAGUUGAAAUAAGAUUUUCAGAAGAUUUCACUAGAGUUUUACAGUUUGAGAAUUUCUAUUUAAUAAUUUUUUUAAGAAAUUAAAAUUUCAGAGUUCAAUGUUAUCUUCGGUUAAAUAUUUUGAUUGGAAAACUUCCAAAACAGAAUUGAAAUCUUCCAAAAAUAUUAUCUAAACUAGGAUUCAAUUUAAAUUAAUUGUAUUUUGGCAUUUAAAUUAAUUGAGGAUUUGUUUGAUUAGAAUGUGAAAAUUUUGAGAAUUUUUGUUUAAUAUAUUUUCCGAAAAUUGAAUAUUUUUAAGAUUUAGUAUUUAAUAGUUUUAGUUAAAUAUUUUGAAUGUAUAUCUUCCAAAAAGAAAUAAAAUUUAAUUGAAAUCUUCCAAAACAAAUAGGAAAUAUUCUAAUAAUAUCCACUUUUUUUUUAAAGCAUAACCACAAUUAUAUCAGGUAAAACUUUAGCUUAGUAUGUAAUAUUUUUCUGUUUUAUCAAUGAAUCCACUUAAGAAUUGAAAUUUAUAUUUACAAAAAAAAACUAAUUAAAAAUGUCAUAGUAUUAGUUGCUUGGAACAUCUUACAAACUUUAUGCAUAGAAGAUAACGUUCCAAUUUUUUUCUUUAGCAUUCCACAUAUGACGUAUGUUCCUCCACGCACUACACAUUGACUAUGUAUUGUCUUUACUAUUUUCUAAUACCUCGAAAAAAGAAAAAAAUCUUGUCUUUUCUAAUAAAAUCAGAAGUUAUAUAUAAAAAGAAUGCUCACCAGGCGCAUCACAAACACAUGUACAAGACGAUACCAAUGGAGGAUCCAAAGAGAGGAAGCCCUAAACCUAAACUUGGGGCGUGGGAGAGAGAGGCAGAGGGAAAAACAACUCCAACUAUAGUAUUACCUCACCGUCUCGUCGAAGAGAUUCUAGCAAAGCUUCCGUUUAAAUCUCUUAUUAAAUUCACUUUUGUAUCAAAAGAAUGGGAAUUAUCGAUUAUGUCUCAAUAUUUUAAGGAAGGCAUUGGGGAUAAUUUUCAAAAUGAAAAGAUCUAAAUAUCAAGCGUGGUUAGAUAAGAUCCUAAUUCUAUUUGGGAUAAGGAUUAAAGUCGGUUUAGAGUCUAUGGAUUAAGUUUGAUCUAUAUGUAUAAUCUUUGUAUGUGAAUCAAUAAGACUCAAGUCAUUACGAGAUGUAUCUAAAUUUACAGAAAGACAUCUGAGUAGUCAGAGAUCUCAUGACCCGAAUAUCCUCUUUUUCCAGAGUAAAUGUGAUAAUUGUAACCCACUCACCAAAGUUUGUGUAAAUACAUUGACGUUGAGAGAAUCGGUUUUCAAAUCGUUCUUAUUUACUUUUCUACGACAUAUUUUUAUUAAUGUAUUUAAGAGUUGCGAUGCUCUGUAUCUUAUUGAUUUACAAGGUAAGGUAUUUAUACAAAUAUGUAGAUCCUAAACCUAGUACGAAUUUCUAGAGACUAGAGUACAUAACUACAUGCGAGGUUUUCUCUUUCAAAACGAACACUUGAAGGAACGUGACUGCUUCUGCCUCUCAUUCUCAAGUAGUGUACCCAACAUACGUAGAUGGUUCAUUUCAUUGGUUAAUCCACGUCUACAAUUCAAAAAGACAUACAGUAUAGUGUCUUUUGAUCUUUACACUGAAACUUUUUGAAAUUAAUCUGAAGACAUUAGUUAACACUGUUGGUCAUGUUGCUAUAUGCAACCUUAAUGACCAUUUGUGUAUAUCAGAGAAAAAAAGGAGAGGAAGCAAGAGAUACGGUCGUUGUUCAGUUCAGACAAAAAGAGGGAGAAGAUAACUUUCAUAUGUAUUCAAAAUUUGAAGAUAACUUCCAUUUGGUGUUUUGGCAAACCGUUGGCAACACAAAUAAUAGCAACUUUUAAGAAAAAUAAAAUUCUUCUUCAUACUUAGAAAAACAUGGCCGUAUUUUAGUGAUGCAUGAUCCUUAACAAAAUUUACUUAGAAAAACAUGAUUCUUCUUCAUACUUAUGGUUACCUUUCAGUUCUAAGCAUAGGAGGGUUUCUAUUGCUUAUUUCCCAAGGUUAGUCACUGUAUGAGUGAUUUAAGCAUUAACAAUGGAUAUAGAUUCUUAUUCAGUUAUUCUUGUUUCAGUAUUGAGCUAGCAAUAAGUUUUAUAUAUUACUUUCAUUGUGCUCUAGUUAUUAAAUUUACUAGGUGGCUGUAAGUUUUAUAUAUUACUUUCAUUGUGCUCUAAUUAUUAAAUUUAUUUUUCAAUCUUAAAUGCUACAUUGCCCUUGGUCUGUGAUUUGGUUUCUUCACGUAGAAUCUAAAUUUGAGUACAUUCAAAUUCAACACUUUAGAUGUUAACAACACUAGAUUAAUCAGAAUGCACGAAAUCAAAGUAAUGAAGAUAAUCAAGCACCUCUUCAAAACCUGAUGAUUAUAAUUCUUUAUCAGUUGUUGAAGGCUUGUAAGAUCAAUUGUUGAAUUUCCAGGUGACUCUCUCAAUUUUUCAAGUUUAUUAUCUAUACCAUUUUUAUUGUAUUGAGAGAUAGUAUGAGAGUAUUUGAAACUGAUAAAUUUUUUGUUCAUAUAGAAAUUAAAUACAUGUCAUAUUAACUAAAUCAUUAUCAUCUUGCAUUUCUAGAAACUAAAACUAUUAUUACUUCUUUUUUUUUGGACCAAAACCAAAUUAUAUCCGAGCAGAGUGUUUUCGACCUAGACUUUCUGAAAUCUGAACUAUUUUUACUUGGCUUUGGGUGUCGUAAAGCUCUUAACCUUUAACGGUGGUGUGGACUAAUAAAUAGUGAUUGGUCACUAAUGUGUAACAACAUUUCAAGACAGAUGAUUCAGUCGCUCUAUAAAUUAGAUGAAAAAUAUGCUACAAUAUGUAAUCUUGAUAUUGUUGAAAUUCACUCGCCUUGAUCUCGUUUAAGGAUGGAAACUCUCUUUGUAAGCGAACUAAAACAACGUUGCUAAUAGAUUGGACAUGAAACAAAACUAAGUUCUGUAUCUGUGAUUUGUGAAGGCAGAGAGAGAGAGAGAGAGAGGGGGAAACGAGGAACCGUUAAAAGAGUCUUCAUUUGUACCAACCAGCAAGAAAAUGCCGCAGCAGGAAACAGAAGGCGCAAGCUAGUGCCUGCAAAAGAAAGUAACAAAAAUAAAAACCAAAUUUGUGAUUUCUCUCUCACAACAAGCUAGCUUGUAUUAGAGAAUGGGCAUUUUACCUGGAAAACAAGAAGAUGGAUACAAAGAUACUUUUCUGAUUUCCUACCAAAAAUUCUCAAGUAGACGUUAAUGAGUGUCCCAUCUUUGGUUCCCGUUAAUAAUCCGGUAGCAGGAUCAAACCUGGUUCAAGAGGGAGGAAGAGUCAAGUCUUGCUGGCUUUUCUUUUUAUGUAACAAGACAACAAAAUUUAGCUUACUUUGGGAGGCGAUGUCGUGGACAUUUUACAAUGCCAGCAAGCUGAAGAGUUACACUAUAGCAAGUUAGAUGCUUAAUAAGAAACUUGAAGAGUAGAAGAAAGUGUGAGAGGGAGAAAGGCGAUCAAACCUGCGGAAGCGACAACAGAAAGUUCAACACUUGAGGAAGAAAAAAGAUUAGGAGGGUUUCACUGCAAAAGUGAAUUUAACGAAGAUGGAGUUGGUUGGUUGAAGGCACACAAAUUAGUUAAAUGCAAAACUGCAAAUGAUGAAACUGAGCACAGGCCACAGGGGUAUAAGAAUGAUAUGGCUGGAAAUAUACCUGAAGUGACCCAGAAUGCCAACAACUGCCAUUGUCAUUCCGGCGAAGACUGUGUAAGUGUCUCCAACAAAAACUGUAGAAGGGUACCUAACAACACCAAAGAGAGGACAUGAAUGUGGUUAGAGAAAGCAUUAGUUCUUUUUUUUUUUUACCUGAGAGACUUAAGAGAAAGCAUUACUCAAAGUAUUCAAGAGAAAAACUUGAAAGUAAUACCAAUUGUAAGCAAGCAUUGCCAAGGAUGUUGCCAUCAAUGGCUGAGUAAGAUAUAUGGAGAAGGCAUGAGCUUGACGAAGCUCAGUAUCAACAGAUGCUCCGAUUUGCAUAACGUUGUGUAUCAAAAUCUACAAGUAACUGAGAUGAAUCAUUUUUACUUACAGAAAAUGGGACGAAAGAAUGAAGAAUUCCAACGCAUUUUGACUGCAGAACUUACAGCUGCUGCAAUAACUACUGUUUGACCGAUUUCAAGGCCAUUCAGACCAGCGUGAAUGUUUAUAGAAUUUGUGCAAAAGACAGCCAGUAGCGCCAUAUAUAACUUAUAUAUCCGUCCUGCCACGAUAAAAAUACAACAACGGAAAUCAAUUUAAAAAUAGUUGCUGCAAGAUAUAUAACACUAUAUAAAAGAAGAUUAUUGUACCUAGAUCAAGUAUCUCCAAGCCAACAUAAGAAACCAGAGGUUUUGGUAUAACGAUAGUUGUAUGUCCAGCAUAAGCCAUCAGAAGUGGAAGGGUUGCAAAAGAUGGCAGGAGAAGUUUCCUGCAAAUUGAAAAGGAUUAAAAGUGUGAACAAAGUUCACGUAUGAGCUCAAUCAAACAAAAUAAGAACUGCGCCUACACUCUCCAAGGCACAUCAAGGACGUCAUCUACAAAUCCAAGCAAAAUCAUGAAGCAAAUAGAUGCCAGUGCUGCAUUGUACUCCACAAGCCACUGCACAGAGUCAUUCAGCCACAUUGAUGAAAUGUGUUGAAAGCAAUGAAUGAGCCAAGAGCUAGCAACUUCAUAGUUGACAUCCAUUUAGCAGAAAAAUAUUCCAUUUUACAAAAAACAACAACAGGGUUUGUCACAUAUGCGAAACAGGGGAAACAAAGGGAGAAUUAUAACGUGGGCUUUCCAUAUACAAUGACCCAUUCAGCCAAAAGAAAUGAAUGAUCAAGCUUAUAGCUUUUGAGAUAAACACACUUACCAAGGAAUCUUCUGUGAAAUUAAAGAACUGAAAUAUUAUCGCCACGACCAAGAAGACAAUACCGACAACUAUUCCCAAUGACUCAGGCCUACACAUAGAUAUAAGAUGAGAGAAGAAAAAAAGUGAGAAAUGCAAAAAAUAAGCAAAUCAAAACUCUUCAAGCCAAGCACACACGCAGAAGUCAGAUGUCCCAGUAGAUCAAAUCAAGCCUAAACUUUGAUAUAACAUCAAUUAGAAAAUGAGAUGCCUCCCCAUAAAAAUCAAAUCUUUAGAAACAUCCAUUUCAAGAAAAAACGAUGAACACUAAUAACAUUGAAUUAAAAAGCUACACAGCUAGUUAAUGAGACAAAUCGAAGAGGGAAAAACUUACACUUUAACUUCUCCUUGAGGAGUGCCUCUUUUGUUGAUAUCAAAACCAAACAUGUUACGCCUCAGGACAUAUGUAGCAGCCACAGGUAUCAAUUUGAGUGUAACAAAGAACCCCACCAAGCUAAGCCCAGCGUUGAUGAGGAUCGGUCGCUUGAGCUCAUUAUCAACAUUGUAAUGAAAACAGAGAAGAUAGAGGUAGAGCGAACACAGAAGCAAAGAGAUCACGAGAAUCACGCCCAAUUUCGGCGGUGCGAGACGGAAAUCAUCUCCGGAAGCAAUAGUCUUACGCUCCGCCGGCGCCGGUGGCGGUUUUUCCGAAUUAGUCACUGAAGUUCUCUUACGAGCAGUCAUGGCGGAUCCGUUGGCUUCUUCGGUUCCCCGCCUCUGGAUUUUGCUUUCUCGACUUUUCGCUAAAGCUCAAAAGUCUAGCAAUUCAAAGCACCGCACUCUUCACAAGCACCCAACUAGGACGCCAAUACGAUGCCGUAUCAGAGUAUAAGAAAUCUGAAUUUGUUGUUAAAAAAAGGGCUUUUAGUGAAAAAACCCCUCAACUAAGUUUGAAUCGGAUAAAAACCCCUCAACUAUUUUUGUAACGUAAAAACCCAUCAACUAAGUUUUUGUAAUGAUUUAGGCCCCUCCGUGAAAAGCACCGUCAAAUCUUAACAAAUCGUUCUUUUUUUAGCAAAAACUACACGAUUUUUACUAUAAACAACAAGUUUUUUGAAAGCCAGAUAUAAGAAUCCCAAAAUUAAAUAUAAUCUUUAAAAUUCCUAAAUUCUUAAACCUAAAUUGAUGAAUCCUAAUUUUUGAAAGUGUGAUUCUAAGUAGUUUUUAUGGUUUGUAAGUCAAUUGGGUGAGAUUGGAAAUGAUUUGUUGUAUUGAUUAAAACGAAUUUGAAAGAAAAACCCUUGAAUUGAGAGAAAUAUUUUCGCAAAUUGGGAGAAAAAGGAGAAAGAAUCACAAAUCUGAAGCUUGGAAGAAGAUGAGGCAGCUGUUUUAAUUUGAUGUUUAAAACCUUGUUCUUCUUCCUCCAACAAAUUUAUUUAGAAGAAGAAUUUAAGAGUUUUUCAAAUUGAAUGAGGAACCCUAAUUUUUAAAUUGAGGAUUUUUAGUUUCAAAUCGAUUUGAGGUUUUCUUUUAUUGAAGUCAUUUCGUUUUUUAAUAAAAUACAAAACAUCAUGUUUUCAUUUAACUGUAAUCCGUUAAGAUUUGACGGUACUGUUCACGAAAGGGCUAAAUCAUUUCGAAAACUUAGUUAAGAGGUUUUUACAUUACAAAAAUAGUUGAGGGGUUUUUAUCCGAUUCAAACUUAAUUGAGAGGAUUUUUCACUAAAAACCCUUAAAAAAAAGGCCAAAGUGUGAAGAAAAAAUUAAAGGAAAGUGAUGAAGAGAAGUUAAGAAAUACAAAAAUGAAGAGUAAAUCAUACGUAUAAACUGAUUAGAUCCAACAUAUAAGGUAAUGUUUUUUAUUAUGUUUUUAUGUAAACUCUCCAACAUCAUCAUCUCCUUAGAUGAAAUCAUAACCUGAGAACAUGCGAAACUUCUCAUGCUGUUGAUGAGAAGAAACUCAAUGCCAAACAAAAAGACACGAGCUGUAAUCAACUCUUGUCAGAAACCAGACAGAACAAUUCAGGAAAGCCCCUCAAUGUGGAAGUUGAAAAAAGAGAACAGAAGUGAACCAGGUGGAUCAGAAAGUUGAUGAAUUUUGUAUUUGAAGUAAUAAAAAUCAACAUGAUCAAGUAUUUCUGAAUGUUACAUAAGAUAGAACUAUAGAAGCCUGCCAAUCUUCUAAUUCCUAUUCAUCUGUAAUUCUGUAGAACCAUCUGUAUAACCUAAACGAAAAUACUUUUCGAAAUGUACGCCAGAGCUCAUAAAAUCUUUCUAAAAAAAAUCCCACUCUUUGUAAAACAGCACUAUUCAGAUGAUGGUUCCCUCUGAGUUGCUUCCAAUCUUGGAGGCGAUUGCGGUGGUAUUGCUGAUGCCUGACAUUCACUUUCAAGAUCAAGAUGGGCUUCCAAAACCCUCCUCGUACCAGUUGCAUGGGAUGAUUCUCGGGUAGAGCUUAAUGUGCUUGAAGAGUUGUUCCCAUCUUUUGAGAGAGACAUGUGAGCUGAGGUUACCACCGAGCUGAAAACACCCGCCUCUCUUAACUCUUGGAUUAUAACCUGUGAAAGAUGAUAGCUUGUGGUAAAACCAAACAUUUGAUGGAUCAAGUCAAAAUAAAGAACAAGGUUUGGGGUUUGUGGUAACUAACCAUUGGGGCAUAAAUUCUGGUCAGAAUCCCCUUCCUAAGGAGUUUCAGUUUCAGUUUUUCAUCCGUCCACACAACAUGUUCUCUAUACCUGUAUUGGUGGAGCUUGUUAGAAUGCAGCAAAAUGGGAUGAAGAGAACUUUGAGUCGACAUUAAUACCAUUGAAGCAUUUCCUCUGAACUCGCGGUUGAAGCAAUGAUAAAUGCCUGCACACAGAAGAAAACGAUGGCCAAGGGCAAUGACUUGUAUACUUCAGAACAAUAAGCAGGAAAUAGAAAGGAAAAUGUAUCAAUUCCCACUCACAGCUCUGUCAAACUCCAACAUGAAACAUCUCUUAACAUCCACCUUAGUGGGCUUGCAACCACAACGAUCACGCCUUGAAGUAAGAUCUGAAAAUCUGGGAUAAGUGUAGUGCAGCACGGCAGCUUCUUCUAGUUUGACCUCACUGUCAAAAAGAUGCCAUUUAUCAGCCACAAAAUAGACAGCUCCCAAAAAAUUGAAAUCAUGCAAAAGUAGCUUCUAUUGAAUAAAUCGCACUAGAAUCUAUCAUACUAGAUGCAGGGGAAAGUGAUGCCAAAUACAAAGAGUCACAUGAUAGAACCAAACGAGAAAAGAGCAUACUUUGGACUCUUCCUGUAGUUGUGCCAUCGAUGAGCACCAUUGGGACGGAGAUGGUCCUGAACACGGGCAGCAGCUUUUCCAUUUCCAUAGGUUAGGAAAUAGUUUGGAUUUCCACGAGUGGCCUCUUUAUAGCUUCCAAAGUAAACAUCUCUCGGAAGAUGGUCAUAAUUCUUCUUGAACAUUGAUACCUACGAUAUAAUGGAAGUAACAACAAAAGAAAAUUGUAGUAUUAGAUCUAUGGAGAUGACAUGUAUUCAGUUUCUCAUGGUGGCAUAAUAGCUUCAGAUGGUUAUAAUUUCUUUACCUCGCUGAAAGGUUCCUUGAUAUCAUCUCGUUCAACGCUGCUCUCCUGAAACAGGGACCAGGAAAAUGAAAAAAUGAAGCCAAAAGAAGCUUUUUUUCAGUAUAAAAUUGAAAGUCCUAUGUAAGACUCACAUAAUUUGGAAAGAUAACUAUAUCCACAUCUGCAGAAAUAUUUCCCAGCAAUUUCCGUAAGGAAUAUUCAUGGGUACCAGAAGGAUGUAUAAGCUCGUCGGUGUCAAGAUGAAUUAUCCACUCCAUACCAUCAUCCUAAAUACAUCGCAUAACAAAAACAUGUGGCAUGUAUAAGAGGUUGGCAAUUUUUUUAUACUUUAUCUAGUGGCUAAAACCACAUGCCGGAUUCAACUAUGGAAAAUGUACAGAUACCUUAGCCAUGGUGAUUGCCAUUUCCAUAUUCAAGGACUGUUUCACGAAUAAUUCGUAGUUACACGGUUUGUAAAAGAAGCUCGACAACCAAGUCUCAUUCCAUAUCCGGCUGUAAACCAAAAGGAAAUGAAAUAGCACAUUAGUGGAUUUGUACAUCUAAAGUAAUGGAGCUAAAUCCCAAGUUUUAGAAGUGACAUUACAGUCACAAGGAAAGCACAUCAUACAUCAACAUUCUUUUCAAACUAAACAAUUUGAUGUCAUUCCAAGAAAGUCAAAUCCUCCAAGUUUUCUAGACCGAUCUUACUCAUAAAAUCAGAACUUCCCUACAUUCUAUUUAGUUUCUGCGAUAAAAGAACUUAUUCCCUACCAUUUCAUCAAACACAAAAUCCACAAAGAUGCAACAAACCAUACAUACCUUUUAGCCUGCUGUUCUUCCAAUUCUUUUGUCCUGUGUAUAACUUUUACACCCUGCAAAAGAAAUCGCAUUGGCAAUAAGAGGAGGCGCAAAACAAAACUAAUAAACCGUGAGAAAACAAAUUUAAUGGAUCAGGCAAAAGCUGCAAAGCUUACGGGAAUUGUCUCCAAAACUCGAGACACAUUUGGGGAUGCAGCCUUCCCCUCAACAAAUAGAUAAAAUGUUGAAACUCCAAUAACUUUGUGAAAGAAAAUCCAUGGAAGUGUUUGCUCUAAGCCAGCGGAAGUGCUUGUUGUAAUGCAUAUCUAACAUGAGAAAAUCGCAAAAACGAAAAACACAUUCGCAGAAAGUCAGAAUCUUUUAACCAAUUUCAUAAAACCCAAAAUUAAAAAUCACAACUUUUCCCUGAGGACACAAAUCAAAUCCCACGGCAGAGACAAGCACCAUCACAAAACAAGGAUCAACAAUACAUGGCAAUCAAAUAUAUGAACAAGAACGCGUCUACAUCAAAUCAAAUGAUACCAAAUUCACCAUUAGAUUGGAUUACAGAUUCACAGGGGCGUCAUCACUCACCCUAGGUUUCAGAUCCGAAUGGUAAUCAAAUUUCCAGUCUCGGAAAUAGGGAAACGAAGGGGCACGACUUUGACCUAGAAGAUCAACGCAGCCCGAAUCAGUACCUGAACGUCGCAAGGACCGUUUCUCGUGGGUUGUGGCCAUUCCGGGGAACCCGUGAUGAUCCGUGGACCAAUGAGUAACCGGGUCGUCGAGUCCGCCACGCCAUUGAAGAACGAAGGCGAAACAGGCGAGGGUGAGAGGAAGAAGGGUAACGAGCAAUAACAGACGCGAGGAAGAUGGUGAUGAUGUUGAAGAAUAAGAAGAAGACACAGUGGGUUUUGAGGAAGAGUUCAAGAGACUCGCCAUGGAAGUAUGCUAUCAGGAAAACGCCAGAGGCAGAGGCAUAGUAGAAGAUAUACAAAUACGAAUAUAUGUGAGGGUGUGUAUCAGUGUAUAUAGAGAUGCUGGGAGGGAGACGAAGUUGAAACUGAAAGCAUUUGAACGGAAAAAUUGUCAGUUGGCCUUGCUUCUUAUUUUCUUCCUAUAAUAUCAAAAAUAAACAUUGACUAUUUUAUUUACAUAGUCGAAGUAAACAAAUAUAUAUUUUUUUUACACGGCAAAAAAUACAAAUAAAUACUCCAUAUCUACAUUCAAAAAUGAAACAACAUGAUAAUAUAGCUUAAUGUUUUAAAAUAAAUGAUAUAGUCAAGCCAUCAAAUAUUUUAUAAAUUAUUUUUUUCCAAAUAAAUCUGAUUUCAGUAAUUUCAGUGUAAGUAAUUCAAAUAUUGCAAAAUAAAAAGCCAACAAAUCUGGCUAAAACUUUAACCUGGUUAGUAAUAAUAUUAUUAAAUCCAAAAUACUUAAAUGCCCGUAGAAAAUUUUGAUAACUAAUAAAUUAGAUUUAUUACCAUAUAUGCACGAGCUUUUAAGCUGUUUUUUUUUUUUGUAAAAAAGCUUUUAAGCUGUUGCUGAAAGGAUAUGGGUGAGGAAUUGAAUUAAAUUAAAGUGCAAAUAAUCGGCCUUCGUUAACGUGAAUAAAUUAAGUUGCUAAUCUACUAGGAGAGAAUUGAUAAUUAAAGUUUCUGCCAAACUCUACUACAUAUAUUGAAAUUUUUCUGCCAAACCUCAAUUAAUUUACUACUUAUAACAAUGGGUAAUGGGCUAAUCAAUAACUUCAGAAUGUAACCAACGAGGCCCCGACAGUAUUGCAUCAGCUAUGUCUUUGCCAACACGUUUCUAUACAAGUCCCUUUAGUCGAGCCUAAGGGAGUUGUCGAGUCGAGAAAAUCAAAGCACAAAGCAAGGAAGUCUAAGCGCAAAUCAAAGAAAUCUAAGGGCAAAGCUACCUCACCUGGUGCAAGCUCAACAUCGACCUCUCAAGACCCUAUUGGAGACGUGGAGAAAGAUGGUAAUGCUAAAGUAAUCACCCCAGAGACACGUCCCGCCCCGCCUCCAAAAGCAAAACCUUCCGAGCUUCCUUGGUUUAUGCAUAUCGCGAAUUACCUAGCAGCAGACGUUGAACUGCCACGAUUCUUCGGCUACAACAAAAAGAAGUUCUUGCGUGAAGUUAGAAGGUACUUUUUGGAUUAACCAUAUCCUUAUAAGCAGUGUGCAGACAACUUGUUUCGCAGGUGCAUCUCCGAAGAAGAAGUUCCAGACUAUGCUGAACACUUUGCUACUGAUAAGACUGUAACGAAGGUUUUAUAAGCUGGUUAUUGGUGGCCUACCAUGUUCAAGGACACCCAUAAAUUCAUAUCUAAGUGUGAUGCUUGCCAAAGACAAGGGAACAUCAGCAAGCGACAUGAGAUGCCAAAAAACUUCAUUCAAGAAGUUGAAGUUUUUGAUGUUUGGGGAAUCGACUUUAUGGGUCUGUUUCCUUCGUCUUUUGGAAACAAGUACAUCAUUGUUGCUGUUGACUACGUGUCUAAGUGGGCAGAAGCCAUAGCCAGCCCAACAAAUGACGCAAAAGUAGUAAUGAAGAUGUUCAAGUCGAUCAUAUUUCCAAGAUUUGGUGUUCCACGACUCGUCAUCAGUGAUGGUGGUUCCCACUUCAUCAACAAAGUGUUUGAGAAUCUCUUGAACAAAAAUGGAGUGAAACAUAAGGUAGCUACACCUUAUCACCCACAGACGAGUGGCCAAGUGGAGGUAUCAAACAGAGAACUCAAAAGAAUUUUGGAAAAGACAAUAGGACCAACAAGAAAAGAUUGGUCAGCAAAGCUUGAUGAUGCUCUUUGGGCAUAUAGAACUGCGUUCAAAACCCCAUUGGGAACUACACCUUUUCAACUUGCUUAUGGUAAGGCUUGUCAUCUUCCAUGGGAGUUAGAGCUCAGGGCAGAAUGGGCCAUAAGAAAGCUGAAUUACGACAUCCAGACAGCAGGUGCAAAACGUUUGAUUCAGCCAAAUGAGUUAGAGGAGAUUCGCCAUACAGCCUAUGAGAAUUCUAAGAUCUAUAAGGAGAAGACGAAAGAGUUUUAUAACAGGAAAAUAGUUCAUAAGACGUUCUCACCUAAUGACCAGGUUCUACUUUAACUCACGUCUAAAAUUGUUUCCCGGAAAGCUUAAAUCACGAUGGUCUGGACCUUUCAAGAUCAAAGAAGUUUUACCAUUUGGUGCUGUGGUUCUAUGGAACCGCCAAGGAGGCGAUUUCACUGUCAAUGGACAACGUCUUAAGCCAUAUCUUGCAGACAUUCAAGAAGAAAAGGAAGAUUCGAUCUCCUUAGCAGAUGCGCCUAAUGCCUAAAAGACGACCAAGUCAAGCUAACGACUUAAAACAAGCGCUUAGUGAGAGGCAACCCACUCGGUAUUGUUUUUGUUUCAUUUAAUUUCAGGUUUUUACAAAGAAGAACGAAUAAAAGACGAGAAGAAAUCAUAAACCGAAAACGGCCAUCACUCCGGCCCCGGUGAAACUUCGACCGACGGUGCCAUUCUUCCAACCGCGACUCAUUCUUUCUGCAAGGUAAGUACAUCUAAACACUUCAAAUUUCUAUUUCCUUAUCCAUCAUUUCUUAGAUUUUAUCACACUGAGGACAGUGUGAAAUAAGUCUGGGGGAGGAUGUUCAUCCGUUACUAACGAAAUUUGAUUUGUUUUGAGUUUGUUUUGGACAUAAAAAAAUUACUCAAAAAUUUUUCAAAAUGUUUUCAAACCAGGAACAUAAAUAAACAAUACUAUGAUGAUUUAGACCAGUGUGCUUCUAUGCUAUUUCCUCGUUUUUUGCUCUUUCCGUGAUUUAGGCCUAGAUUAGGCGGUAGCUAGAGUACUUACACUACGAACUCCCACCAGAGGACUUCUAUUCAUGGAGAUUCUUUCUGACAUGAUAUACUAGCUCAUUUUAUUUGGAAUUAAUCUUGCCUUAACUUUCUCAUUAAAGCAUUAGAUCAGGGAAACAAAUCAUACAUUCAGGACUCCUUUACCCUUUUACCACUCUUUGUUGAUCCUGAAUGGCUAGUUCACAUUUAGCUAGUUCCCCACCGUAACCCAGCCUCUUUCAAACCACAUGCACUCUUGUUUUGCAUUGUCCUAUAUGCAGAUAUGUGCAAAAACGUCGGAGAGAAAGAGGAUCAACGCGGUUUUCAGUCACUAAAGACAGAGACCUGCGAUUUCAUUGGAAUGGUUCAACAAAAGGAGAAAACUAAGUUUGCCUUUGAAAAACUUCAAAAUCUUGGUACAAUUUUGUCCCUUAGACUCUCUCUCUCUCUAUAAAAGGUUGUUUCCCCUUCAAAAACAAAAAGAAAAAAAACGAAAAAAAAAUAAUAGAAAUAUGAAGGAAAAGGAAAUAAAAACCUUAAGAGAGUCUAGGAGGAUCGAUUUUAUCUUUGAGGCAAGCUAGAGUUCGAUUAUAUGGAGUUUUGGAGAUCAUUUUUCUUAUUCCCGGAAAAGAUCUAAGUCUGGGGGAACAUCUGUUUACAACCAAGGAGGAAAGACUAUGCAACAACAUUUGGCAAGGAGAAGUGACUGAAAAUUGCGGACAUCAACAGGUCCACUCUCUCUUGCGGUUUUGCAUAAUAUGUUGCAUCCUCCAGAUCUUCAGGUAACCCGAAACACUUUAAUUCCAGCACUUAAAUAGCUAGUUUACUGGAAGUUAGAUCUAAGUGUGUAGAUUUUCGCAUGACGGAUCAACGGACUAGUUAUGUUUGUAUUUUGGUGAGAAUUUUCUAGACUAGAUCCAGAUAGAUGUUUUAUGAUAGGUUAUGGUUUAGAAGGACGGUCACUGAGAUAUUGUGUAGUUCCUGCGGGUUUUUAAAGAUUCUUUCAUGGCUUGAUCUAUGUUUUGUUUGAGGACAAACAAAGGUUUAAGUCUGGGGGAGUUGAUAACACCAGAUUUUGACCAUUUUUAUGGAUCGUUUUAAUAUCUUAUGCAGGUGUUUUAACUCUGUUUUCAAUGGUUUUUUAAGUGAUUUCUAUGUUUUAGAGUUUUAAAAGACUUUUCAGGAAACUUGGACUAAAGAUGUGCUAUUUGGAACAAAUGAGCAAUUUUGGAUAAAUGCAGACCAUCAGAAGUAUGGUACUCGAUGAAGACAUUCUCACCGUCUGAUCGUCCCCAAAUUUUGAGACAACAUAGAGGAUACAACCAGCUUUCUAAUGCAAUUGGUUUAAAGACAAUGCAAUGGUUAGAUCUUCAGAUAUUCUCGAUGCACUAAAGACAGAAAAUACAGUCUCGAAGGAGAGCAUAGGCCGCGACCGCGGCCAGACCAUGACUCCCCGCGGUCAGGACCACCGCGACCGCGGCCAGAAAACGUUGACGUAUGAAAGUGACCUAAUUCAAGCCCAAGUCCAGCCCACUGCUCAUUCUUCAAACCCUAAACGUUUCCAACGAAUUAGAAGGCUAUAUAUACUCGUUUUAGGUCAUUCUAAUGACCAAGUCGUGGAGAGAGAGCAGAGACGAGCCGCAUACCUUGGAGUUUCCGUCUUCGGGAGAAGGAGGAGUUGCCGAAGCAGCCACCAUCGAUAUCUGCCUUCGUCUUCGUUCUUCGUUCUUUACCUUUCUCUUAUUUUAAUUUCCACCAAACUACAAUACUUCUGUGAUGUUCUUAUACACUAUGAUUGAGUAAUUCCCUUGUUGGGUUUUAAGGAUUUUUCAAAGGGAUUCAUGGAUUGAUUUCUGGUUUGUUAGAUUAGGGUUUAUCUUUAGAGUUCUUCGUCUAAAUCUGCGUUUCGUUUAUGUGGCUUUGAUCGAUAAUCUAGCUACUGCGAUUAGGUUGAUUUACUCACCGAAAGUGUUGUUGAAUCGAUUAACCUUAUGUAGAUGAACAAAUUCUCUUAGACGGUGUGAGUCGUUCUAAAACGUUUUGUGAAAUUAUCAAACUAAUUUGUCUAGAAACUUAGAGAACUGAAUGGGAGUUUAGUAAAUCUGAGUGAAUUGAUUUGUGAUUAAUACUAGGUGAGUAGCUUAGUCUGAGUUUGAUUUCAGGAACACAUCUAUAGAAAACUCUAUGUUUGAUUCUCUUGUUAGCUAGUCUUUGAUUCCCGGCGAAUUCCCUAACGCCCAACACCUUCUUGUAUUGAUUUGAUCUUAUUGUUUACUUGUUUUUAAGUUUAUUAUUUGCUAUUUUCGUCACUGUUCACAACCCCCAAACAAACACCCAUAUUUUCAUCUUAGCUCAGUUCUCAUCUCAAGUAAACUCGUACUGCAGUUACUUGGUCUUCAGUGGAUCGACCCCUAAGUACUACAAUGUACAUAUGUGCGCUUGCAGAAAACUAGGGUUAAAACCUGAGCACAUCAAUAUUCGAUUCAUGCUAGGGUUUUAAAGCUCAUAGGUUGCAAGUUAGACUUCUCCUGUUUACUCUAAUCGAUGUUUGGUGGCAUUUCCAAUUAGCUUCCGGGCGAUUUAUCUUCAUAUAUCUUCUGAGAUCUGCAUGGAACUGGAAUAGACAUAUACAUGUUAACCAACUCUCGUCAUCUUAAUCAAUUAAUCACUUACCUCGGCAAUUAACUCUCGCUCUCAUGCCGCGAAUAAGAUCAUGCAUUAACCAUUGAAUUCGUUCGCUCACAUCUUCUCUACAGGUAGCUCUCGACUCCUAUAGCGACUAUAUUCUUCUGAAGCUUUGUUCUGGUAAUCUAAUACAACACUCUCGUGGCUCUGAUGCCUAGGUUCAGUAGUUAGAUUGCGAGUUUAACUACAUGCAUUAUGAACAACUUAGAAGAGAUGAGAUCUAGAAUAUGGCUAAGAAAACAACAACCCUAAACGAAUAUGGAGUCCCCUUCGAUGGAUCCCUUAAACCCAAAAACUAAUUACUCUGACAUGACUAAAAACAGAAUAAUCAAAGAAAUAAAUAGCAUAAACUGAAUAGAUGAAAAGAAAAAACGAGGGUUCAAGAGAAGAAUCUAUAUCUCCCUAACCUAAACCUAAGAAACAAAAGUUUGGUGCCUCCCUAACAAGGACAAAGGAGCAUACACGAAAUUAAAUCUUCUAAAAUACAUAUUUAUAGGUCUCCAAGUGCUUCUGGUCGUACUUAGACCAUCUCCAUUGCAAAGUUUUAGUGGGGAUAUAAGGAAUUUUAAGCAUUUAAAAUAAAUCAGAAAGAAAAUAAAUGCUUAUAUACUGAGUUCAUAAACUCUUGCAUAAGAACUUCUCUCUCCUGAGUAUAUAUCAAAUUUAAUAAUAAACAAUGUUUAACAACCUAUUAUGAGUAUGAGGGGUGGAGAUGCUCUUAGGGCUUAUUCUGCAGAGAGAAUGAGUUGGGCUUGAAAACAGGCCAUUGGGCCAAAAAUGGGCUUGUCGCAGAAUGACGCUUCUCCAAGUCUGGUAAAUGCUGGUCCACCGUGGAUGAAGGCCCUGAGGCAUGGCCAGGAUAGUGUUCAUUGCGGUCACGAGCUCCUGGACCGCGGUGGGUGGGAUAUGAUGUCCAAUUCAUUCCUUCUCUUGCUUCUUUCGCGAGACUGCAGAACAUGUCUCCCGUAAAUUGAAAAUAACCUAUGAUCCAACCGUUGGAUUGCGUCGAAUCCAAUUGCAUUAGAAAGCUGGUUGUCUUCUCUAUCUUGUUUCCAAAUUUGAGCUUGAUCAGACGGUGAGAAUGUCUUCAUCGGAUGUGAAACAUCUGACGGUCCAAAAUUGGCCAAAAAUGUAUUUUUGUCCAAUUUGCAUUGUUUUUGCCUAAAUAACCUGAAAAGUCUUUUAAAACUCCAAAAAUGGAAAACACUUAUAAAACAUUUAAACCUGAUUGAAAAAACCUGCAUAAGAUACUGAAAGUGAUCCAUAAAUAUGGUCAAAAUCAGGUGGUAUCAAAGUUUUAUUUGGCUUACCAAAUUCGAUUAUCUAUGCAUUUUUCUCAUCCAAUCUCGACUUGUUUCACACUGAAGAGAGUGUGAUUUAAGUCUGGGGGAGGAUUUCAUCUCUUUCUAACCACUUUUCUUUCAUGAGUCUUUCAUUAUCUACACUUUUUGCAUUUUCCUUAAAUUUUUUCAAAAACGGUUUUCAAAACAAAAUAUGUUUUAAAGAGAAUUGUGAACAUGAAUCAAUGAUAGGGUACUGUGUGCUUUUAGACUGUUCCUAGUGACAUGCUCAUUCAUGAUUUAGGACUAGACUAGGCGGUAGCUAAACACAUUUAAAACGAAGUAACCCAGAGGAAUUUGAAUGAUUUCGAUUUAGAUGAAGGAAUACACUAGCUCUGUUUUAUUUGGACUUAACAUGGACUUAAUUCUCUCAUUAAAGCAUUAGACCAGGGAAACAAAUCAUACAUUUAGGACUCCUUUACCCUUUUACCACUCUAUGUUGAUCCUGAAUGGCUAGUUCAUCUUUAGCUAGUUCCCCACCUUAACCAAGCCUCUUUCAAACCACAUGCACUCUUGUUUUCUAUUGUCUUAUAUGCAGAUAUGUGAAAAAACGUCGGAGAGAAAGAAGAACGACGUAGUUUUCAGUCACUAAGACGAAGAACUGCGAUCUUGCUGGAAACUUUACUGGAAGGAUUCAACAAAGGAGAAAACUCAGCUUACCUCAGAAAAAUCGCCAAACAUUGGUACAUUUUCGUCUCCUAGACUUUUUCUCUCUCUAAAAGGUUAUUUCCCUUUUAAAAAAAUCCGAAAAGAAAAUUAAAAAAAAUGAGAAAGCAAAGGAAAUAAAACCUUAGAGAGUCUAAGAGGAUCAAUUUUAUCCUUGAGGCAAGCUAGAGUUUGAUUUUAUAGAGUUUUGGAGAUCAUUCUUCUAAUUCCCGGAAAAGAUCUAAGUCUGGGGGAGUAGCUGUUCACAACAAAGGAGAAAGGAUUAUGCAACAACAUUGGACAAAAAGAAGUGACUGAAAAUUGCGGUCAUCAACAGGUCCUUAUCUCUCUUGCGGUUUUACAUAAUAUCAUGCAUCCUCCAGAUUCAUCAGGUAAUCCGAAACACUUUAACUCCACCAUUUAAACAGCCCUUAAAUGCCAAACGCCGUCUACCCUGGAUGAUGUCUUUGAUGAGAACUCACUUUUGCACUUAAUGAAUGUAGAGAGCUACUUGACUGAAAUCGAGAUUUGGGUUGUUUGAGUUUUGCAUGACAGAAAAGGUGGACUAGUAUCUUUUGUGCCUUGGUGAGAAUUUUCUAGAUUAAGUUGUGGACUGGUGUACGAUCUAUGGUCCUAGUUUAGGAGUUCAUGUCUUUGAGAUUUGUGCAUUUCCUAUCUUUGUUUUCACUUAACCAGGUUAGACUUUUGCUUUGUUUGGGGACAAAAAAAGGUUUAAAUCCGGGGGAGUUGAUAACACCGUAUUUUUGACUAUUUUUAUGGAUCAUUUUGAAAUACGUUUUCUAUGUUUUUUUUAUUGCUUUCAAGUAUUUUUAUUAUGUUUUUUAUUUCUUUCAAGUAUUUUUAUUAUGUCUUUCUAGUAUUUGUAGUUUCAAGACUCUUUUCAGGAAACUUAGGUAAAAGCUUAACAAAAUGGAUAGAAGACCAGAUUUCAGCUUAGAGUCAAACCGUCAGAAGUUCACCCCCAAAUCAAGACCUUCUCACCAUCCGAUCCAGCUCAAUUUUGGAGACCUUAAAGAUGGAACUACCAGCUUUCAAGCACACUUUACAGAUUGGCAAUCUAACAGUUCAAUCAAAAGUUACGCGAAGAGCAAGAUGUCCCGUAAACCAGCCGGCAAGCAUUCCUACCCGCGGCCAACAGGCAUUUCACCACGGUCCCGACCUUCUCGACCGCGGAGAAUGGUCUGUCCGACCCCAAAGCAUAUUUUCAAGCCCAAAAUGAUUCUCUCAUUUGGAGAAACCCUAAGUGACGCCCAUAAAUACAUGUUUUAGGAACCUUAAGUCGUCUUUUAUGCUCUUAUUGUUUUAGAAUACUUUUUAGGUUUUUCAAUACUUUGCUUUUAUGGAGAUAGAAAUCUAUUUCUUGAAUCCUUUUUGUUUCUUCUUCAAUUUCGAUUACUGCUCAGCUUUUCAAUACAAUGUUUUUGCUUUCUUUAAUCAUGUCUGAGUAGUGUCAUUGUUGGGUUUAAGAGAUUUUCGAUGGGGGCUAUAUAUGUUUGAUGUGGAUUUCAUUAGCUAUUGAAGCUGAAUCCUAGAACUUUAUCUUCUAAACUUAUUUAUAAUGCAUGGGAGUAGUGUCAUGAACUACAAUCUGAUCCCGGUUUUGGGUUUGCGAAAGUUUUCAUUCGAGGCCAGAUCUAGUUCGAGAAGAGCAGAUCCAUAGGAGUGGAAACCUAUCUAUGCAAGAGUUGUGAAUAUUGAUGAGUCUUAAGCACAUCACAUCUUUUCUCUUCCAGGGCCAGAGUGGAAACCUACUGGUCAGGGUUGAGAGAUAAUUCGUUAUGAUCACGACAGUGGCGUAUUCAUACGUUCGUGACUCUAGUUCUAAAAGUUUUAGCUAUGAUCUUUUUAAAUUAACUCUUUAGCAAUGUUUUGACUCGUUCAUCCCCUGGAGAGAAUUUCCCUGAAUACCCAGCGUCUCGUCUUUAUAAGUUUCUGCCGAUUUCAAUACAACUUUUAGUCCUUAGGUUAUUUUUCUUUAUCCUAGCCGAUUUUGAUUCAAAUCAAAUUAGGUUUAGCCGUUUUCUAGUUUAUAGUCGAUUUCUUUAAGUUUAGUUAUAGGUCCUUUUAAUUUCUGUAUUUUCUCGUUAAGAUUAGUUUUUAUGUUUUAAAUACACCACCAAAACCCCUACGAAAAUCGCCUGGUUCUAGGCUUCCUUACUUCACAUUUCUUUCAAAGGCUUUUGCAAGAAAGAUCAUUCAUUGUGGAUUCGAUCUCUAAGUACUACAAUCGAUCACCUGUGCACUUGUGGCUAUUGAUUUCAUUUAGGGUAAAACUUGACAACCCUAACGACAUCACACAUCAAGUUUUUGCCGCCGUUGCCGGGGAAGGCACGCAUUCUCUUUUCUGCAAAACCCUAAGAAAGGUUGGUAAAUCGACUCUAGAACCCUUUUUCUGGUUAUUUCCAUUUUUCGGUUCUUUUUGUUUCAACCCAAAGCAAUGAACUCUAUAAAUCGAAAUCCCUACUAUGAGGGAGAUUUUUACAGCACUCCUCAAGCCACCAGACGCAGAGAAGAACUUCAAGCUCGAGAUCUCAGCCACAUGGAUCGAUACACCCAGCCGGACCAUUCGUAUUACCGGCGCAGAGAGCCUGCUCGCCGCCGGGAAAAUCCUUAUGGCCCCUAUUUUGAGCUGCAUGUCUACCAUCCUCCACCGCAGAACCCUAGUCAGCAAGAGGAAAACUUGAGGAUCCCUGGAAAGUCUCAAAGGAAUGAUAAACCAGCUCCUUGGUCAGCAAAUCCUCACUGAAAACACCCUGCUCAAGAGGAUUGAUUCAAUUUCUGAAGAGUUCAACAGAAAAUUCGAUGAUCUGGCUGAUCAUGUCAGAGUUCUGGAAGAGCAAACCCACAAGGACGCACAAACCCUAACCGGGGUGAUCAAUCAAGUUGCAGCAGAACAGACAAGGCAAGGGUAUGAUAUCAUACAAAACUCAAGUGAUAUUAUCGAAUCAAAAUGGGAGAUCAAAGAAGUUGGAGAAUUCGCCUCCUGGUAUAGAGAGAAGACAGACGAAGAGUUGCAAAAAAUCGAGUACAGGCUAAACAAACUCGAGCUGAAGGUAUGGGAGAUUGAUGCAAGAAUGGGACAGAUCCCCAACGUUAGCCGAUUGUAAGAUUUUCUAAGAAAUCCUAGCUGAUUUGGAGAAUGUUUGGCCGCGAUCACGAGUAUGGGAUCAUGGUCGAGGUAGGGUUUUUUUCUGCAGUCCAAACUCAUGCGACCGUGGAGCCUUAAAUGCAGCCUAAUCCUGCUUCUCCUUGGUUCCUGCAGGGCCGAGCAGUCGGGAACCUAUCCUUCUUUUUGGUUUUUUUGAUUUUUUGGUUUUUUUGAUUAAUAAGAAACACCUGAAACUAAUAAAAAAAAAGAUCAAUAGAAAAAAAAAUCCUAAAGAAAAACAAUACCUUAAUGGGUUGCCUUCCAUUAAGCGCUUUUGUUUUAAGUCGUUUAGCUCGAAUUUGUGUAAGAAGAUGCUCAGUCCGAUGAAGACCUUUAACCUAAGACAAGUCUUAAUCUCCUUGUUCUUCCUAGCACGUUCUUCGUCACUCCAAAGUUCUGCUUCAAACACCUCUGUUGCAUGACGUUUUCCUGCUCUGCUGUUAAAAGGAACAACAUUGAAGAAGAUGUCCUUGUUGAUAUUAGCAAAUGAAAUCAUCCGGUUUGGCCAGUCCAUGAUGGCUCUGGUAGUUGCUAAGACAGACGAUCUAAGAAUGAUCGGAUGUGAUUCAUCUUUGGUCUUGACAAUGUAGAAAUCGACAGGGACAAUGCAGUCUCAUAUCCUCAAGGGAAUGUCAUAGGCUACUGUUUAGGUGUAGCACUGGAUUCAUCAGCUAAACUGAUCCUUGUUCUAGUCCUGCGCAGAUGCUUAAUACCAAGCCACAAAGCAGUUGCUUUGGACAUCAUGUUGAGACAAGCUCUAGAACCACAAAGAACAUGGUUAAAUCUUUCACCUCUAAUGGAACAAGAGAUAAGAAAUUGACCUCUGUCUUCGAUUUUAUGCAGUGUUCAAACAGACUUCCCUUUUUUAGCAUGAAUAAACAAGUCUUCUAUCUCAGGAAUAAAUUCCUUGCUCUCACAGAAGUAGUGGCCGAUCAUGUAGUCUAUGCAGAUUCUGGUAAAGGUGAUUCCUUCAGGUAAGCUUCGAAUUACAUCGUUGAACUCAUCUAGCUUCUUCUUGCUGAUCUUGUUGGUAUAAUAGCUGCAUUCUUCAGAUUUUUGGAGAUGGAUUGAGUAAAUGGCAGCAUCAGGCGAGGUUUUGGGAAAUGAUAGACGUUUAGCUCUCCCAAGAUAGGUUCGAAUAUCCUCCUUGGUCUCUUUGCUAUAUCUAAAGAAAACAUGCAAACAGCCAAUCUUCCAAAUAUCAUCGGAAACUUUAUAAAUGGAGAUUGUCUUCACAAAGUUAUUGAACUUGAUAAGUCAUUCCCUAGAGAUUGGUGAGCUUUGUUACAAUGAAUUGUCUGGAUUGCCCCCUUCAACGAACAAACGAUAGUCUUCGUCUUCAAGGUACUGCUCUUCGUAUUCAUCUUCAUAGGCCAAGGCUAUAUCGCAUGGUAGUACCUCAUUUUUGUCUUGAGAUGUUUUAGAGCUAAUGGAGUAAACUGCUUGCUUUACAGGAAGGGAUUCUGGUCAAUCCAGGAGGUCCAUCAGUCGAGCAGUUACCUGUGUGAAUCAAAGGGGACUGAUGAGGGUGUGGCCGAUGGUUGGCCGCGGCUGCAGGUGAUAUGACAAGAAAAAGACAAAUCUAAUGAAAACUGGAAGUAACCUAAUGCAAAAAUUUUAGUAAAAAUCGGCUGGGAAUGAAAAAUAACCUAAUGACUAAAAGCCUGAAUAAAAAUCGAUGUAAGACAAUAAAAACAAGACGUUGGGUUUUCAGGAAAAUUAUCUGCAGGAUAUGUACGAUUCAAAAUAUUGCUAAAAAAUAAAUUUAAAAGAUCCUAGCUAAAAUUUUAGAACUUGAGUCACGAACGUAUGAUUAUGUCACCCUCGUGAUCAUAACCAACUAUCUCUCGCGACCUUGACCAGUAGGUUUCCACUCUGGUCCUGGAAGGGAAAAGAUGCAAGCCUGCUUAAGACUCAUCAAUAUUUACAGCUCAACCAUAGGUAGGUUUCCACUCUUAUGGCAGAACUGAUCUUCUCAAACUAGAUCUACCUCCGAAUGAAAACUUUCGCAAGACUACGAACCUAAAUCAGAUUAUAGUUCAUGACGCUACUCACAUGCAUUAAAAAUAAGUUUUGAAGAAAAAGUUAUAGGAUUCGGCUUUAAUAUCUAAUGGAAUCAUCAUCGAACAUAUAUAGUCCCCAUCGAAAAUCCCUUAAACCUAACAAUAGAACCACUCAGACAUUAUUAAAGAAAGCAAAAAUAUUGUAUUGAAAAGUUGAAUAGAAAUCGAUAGUGAAAAGAAACAAAAAAGGUUCAAGAGAUAGAUCUCUAUCUCCCUAAACCUAAAACAACUAAAAGUACAAAAAACUUAAAAGGUAUUCUUAAACCCAACUAAAGGUAUUCUAAAAGGCAUACGACUUAGGGUUCCUAAAACCUGUAUUUAUAGUGCUCAAGUCAUUUCUAGACGUCACUUAGGGUUUCUCCAAAUGAGAGAAUCGAUUUGGGCUUGGUGAUGAGCUUCUAGGCCGAACAGAUCACUCUUCACGGUCAGAGGGGACGUGACCGGUGUAAAAUGGGUGAUGGCCGUGGUCAGGAAUGCUUGCCAGCUGAUUGACAGGACAUCUUGCUCUUUGCGUAAAUUUUGAUUGAACCGUUGGAUUGUCUUGGUGUCAAGUGUGCUAGAAAGCUGAUUGUUCCAUCUUUAAGGUCUCCAAAUUUGAUCUGAAUCGGACGGUAAGAAGGUCUUCAUUUGAGGGUGAACUUCUGACAAUUUUACUCUGAGCUGAAAAUCUGGUCUUCUAUCCAUUUUGCUAAACUUUUUCCUAAGUUUCCUGAAAAGAGUCUUGAAACUGCAAAUACAAAAAAACCAUAAUAAAAACACUUAAAAGAAAUAAAAAGCAUUGAAAAAAAUAUUGAAAAACGAUCCAUAAAAGCGGUCAAAAUACAGUGUUAUCAUAGCCUAAGGAAUUUGUGAUCCACAUAGAUCAUGAAUCACUCAAGCAUUUGAAAGGGCAACAGAAGCUCAACAAGAGGCAUGCUCAGUGGGUUGAAUUCAUUGAAACAUUUCCUUAUGUUAUCAAGUACAAACAAGGUAAGGAAAAUGUUGUUGCUGAUGCAUUAUCGCGAAGGUAUGUCUUAAUCUCUACUUUGGACACUAAGUUGCUGGGUUUUGAACAACUUAAAGAAAUGUAUAAGACAGAUCCUGAGCUUGGAGAGAUCUACAAGGCAUGUGAGAAGUUUGCUUCUAGACAUUACUUUUGACAAGAAGGUUUCUUUUCUAUGAAAACCAUUUGUGUGAGCCUAAUUGCUCUCUUCGAGAUUUGUUUGUCAGGAAAGCUCAUGGAGGAGGCUUGAUGGUAUAUUUUGGAGUUGCUAAGACACUCAAAGUGAUGCAAAAACACUACUAUUGGCCCCACAUAAAGAGAGAUGUGGACAGAAUAUGUGGCAGGAGUGUCACUUGUAAGUAAUUUAAGUCAAAGGUCCAAGCCCAUGGUUUGAAUAAUCCUUUACCGAUUCCUUCUCAUCCAUGGACUGAUAUCUCAAUGGAUAUUGUGCUUGGUUUGUGAUAACACCAGCUUUUUACCAUAAACUCGUUUUCAAUGUUUUAUAAGUGAUUUUCAUUUUUUUGAGUUUUAAAAGAGUUUUCAGGAAACUUGGACUUUUGGAGUGUAUUUUUGAGCAAAAGUAUAUUUUUGGAUAAAUUCAGGACGUCAGAAAUUUAGCAACCAAUGAAGACCUUCUCACCGUCUGAUCAUCCCCAAAUUUUGAAAAAUUAUAGAGGAGAAAAACCAGCUUUCCAAUGCACUUAAAAUCAAUGCAAUGCAAUGGUUAGAUCCCUAGAUAUUAUCAAUGCACUGAAGGCAUAUUAACACAGCCCGGGAAGGUGAAGCAACUCUCACCCGCGGCGAAGACACUCUACACUGCGGCUGAACCACUUUCACCCGUGGUGGACCUAAUUCCGACCUUCAGAAGUCCAACCAAAGCCCAAGUCAUUUCCGACACUCAUUUUCAAACCUUAUACGCCUAGAAGAGAAGAAACACUAUAAAUACAUUAUCUUUAGGUCUUUUGGAACCAUGCCUUUUUCAUGCUUUAGAGAGAGUACUUCAUUUUAGUUCUAAGUUUUGCUUUUAUGCUUUUGUAGAAGGCUUUUCUCGCCAUACUUGUCUUCAAUAAGAGAAGCUUUUCUUUAUCUGCUAUCUAUUUUACUUUACUGCUUUUGCUUUUAAACCAAUGAUGAUGUCAAGCUCAGCUAUGUCAGAGUAAGUUACCUUGUUUGAUAAAGGGGCCAUCAAAAGGGACCCUAUGAUCGAUGACAUCUAUGUUUUUAGGUUAAAAGAUUUUGAUUUUUACAUGAUUCUCCCAUUCAUCCUAUUUUCAUAGUUUUAUGCUGGAGUAGGUAACCAGUAUCCGAUCUAAGGUUGAAUCAGAGCCACAAGAGUGAUGUAUCAGAUUGCCUGAACUGGAUCUAAUGGACGUAACCGUCGUAGGAGACGAAAGCUACCUACAGAGGGGACGUGAGCCGAGAUGAAUUUAAUUAGUAAUGCAUGAUCUCUCUCAUAGCAAAAGACGAAAGCUACUUGUCGAGUUAUAAUGAUUAGAUGAUUAGGGUGAUGAGAAUUGGCUAAUUAUAAGUGUCUAUUCUAGUUCUAGAGUCAUAGAAAGUCUUUAUCUAGAUCCCUUGUAUCAUAGAUCAUGAACCUUAAAGAUAAAGCCUAGCGCCAUUUUUCUAUUGUUUUUAAACUGAUUUCUUUUCAAGUUUUUAUUUUCUGUUUGGUUUAUUCGAAUUAGUGACAACCAAAACUUCUGUAAGUAGUAGAAACUUUUGAAGUUCCGGAAGCUUGGCCUAUUCUCCACCUUAAAAAAGAAACCCACUUAAGGCCCAAAAUAAGCCUGGUCUAAGUUGAAAUGAUCGAUGAUAAACCAUUUUAUACGUUCUGUGGAUAAUUUUAUUAAUCGAACGUAAAAAGUAUUCUUAGUCUCUGGACUCUGGAGGUUGAAGAUGAUGACAACAGUAGGAUUUGCUCAAUCGAAUUCUUCUCUUUUUUCGUUCAGAAAUAAAGCCAUUGACAAGACAAAAGCUUCACGAGCCAAAUGGGUCUCUUCUUCAUCUCUUCCUGCGCCUCCAUUCUCGUCCCCUUCCAGUGAGACAUUUCAUCGAACAGAUUAUGGGCAAGUGAUACACAAUGAUGUUCUAUGUGGUAACAAUGAAGAAAGCAGGAAGAAAAAGAAAAGGGUCUUCUUCUUAGACGUUAGUCCACUUUGCUACGAAGGAAACAAACCCAGUUCGCAAGCUUUUGGUCACUGGCUCUCACUCUUCUUCUCUCAAGUCAGCCUCACCGAUCCUGUCAUAGCUGUAAAACACUCUCCUCUGCACAAUUUUAUUCCUUUUUACUCUUCUCCGGUCCAUGGAAACGUCUGAAAGGUGUUUCCUUUUUACAGGUUCUCGAUGGAGAAGAAGGUAACAAACGACGCCGAGAAUUGCUUCCUUCAUAUAAAGCGCAUAGGAGAUCACCAGUUCCUGGGAGACACUCCAAAAGGCCACAACAUUUUGUCGAUGAUGUUCUUAAAAAAUGCAAUGUACCAGUGGGUAAAACUAUUAUUCUGACCUCAAUGUUAUUUAAUCAAUUAACCACAGUUCUGAACAUGAUUGAGUUCUUGGAUGAUAUAGACAUAUAUUUAAGGCGAUUAAGACAAGAUCACAGUAGACUUAGCCAUAGAUGUGUGAUGAAUGGUCUCUGACUUGAAUCUGGUUUAUGUGCAAAGGUUGUUAGAAUGGAAGGCCAUGAAGCAGACGAUGUGGUGGCUACGCUGAUGGAACAAGCCGUGCAAAGAGGUUACCGCGCGGUUAUUGCAUCGCCUGACAAAGACUUUAAGCAGCUGAUCUCAGAAAAUGUUCAGAUUGUUAUUCCAUUGGCAGAUCUCAGAAGAUGGUCUUUUUACACGUUGAAACACUACCAUGCUCAGUAUAAGUGUGAUCCACAGUCUGAUUUGAGCUUUCGUAAGUGACUAAUACCGAUUCAUCUCUAGAAGAGUGUUUCUUAUGCUAGUCUUUAACCAAUUCGAUCCAUUUGUUUGGUCAGAAAUCGAUACAGGUGUGGUUUUUUAGCCAGAAAAUUACUCUGCAUAUUGAGUUCUUGGUUAUGCAUACUGAUCAGGACUAUGAGUUUUGUGAUAGGAUGUAUAAUGGGGGAUGAAGUCGAUGGAGUUCCGGGUAUUCAGCACGUGGUCCCUGCGUUCGGAAAGAAAACAGCGAUGAAACUUGUCAGAAAACAUGGUUCUCUAGAGAGUUUAUUAAGCGCAGCAGCUGUAAGAACCGUUGGGAGACCAUAUGCACAAGAGGCACUUACGAAAUACGCGGAUUUCUUGAGAAGAAACUAUCAAGUUCUUGCCUUGAAAAGGUUCCAUUUUUCUCACCUUUAAACCACCCUUCAUGUUGAUUAUUAUGCAUCUCUUUUAAGAUAUUCUUGCUGAUAAUGUAAUCAUUCUUCUAUCAUAGAGAUGUGAGGGUACAGAUUCAAGAUGAAUGGCUGGUGGAGAGAGAUACAAGCAAUGAUUCAGAAGUUUUGUCAAGCUUUUUCUCAACCUUGCAUGGAUGAUACUGAGCUGAGGAGCUCAAUCGCACACCGAAGCCUCUUUCUCCUAAAUAUUCAAAGACAGAAGUCGAUGGAUAGACCUAAGUCCAUGCUCAAGAACUGAUGCUAGCUUUUGGAACCUUGAAACUAAUUCGCAAAUUCACGGUGUAUUAUUGUAGUUACAGAUUUGGUUUGGUUAUAAACUUACAUAUAUAAUAAUCUAUAUCAAAUAUGUUGUCAUUACAUAAAGAUUCAGGAGAUAUCAAUUCUUUUUACUGAAUUUGUUAUCACCAUUGACAUAGUUGGUUCCAUCAAUGUGACCCUAAAAGGUAAGAAAAAAAUAAUCUAACUUUCUUAUAUUAGCAAACAGAUUUUAAGAAAAAGGUAAUCCACUUUUUUGCUUUUCCUGAUAAUUAUUCUGGCGACAUCAAAUUACAGACACAAAGGUAGCUGCCUAAAGGCUAAAAAACUAGAACAUAACUUAUAAUGGCAAAGGCCUUAGAGAAUAGUAUUUGAAACAGAGCCACCACCACCAUUCCUUGGCGAGAAACCACACGCACUCGAAAUAAGCAUUUGAAAUGAACUCUCUGAAUCAUCAAACAUCGGUCGUGGGAACUCAUGGAACCCUCCGAAAUUACACGUAUCGAAGCUCAACGGCGAGAAAGACUCCUCAAAACUUAUCUUCUCUUCCAUGAAUCCAGGCUGCUCGGUUUCUUGAUCAGCGUUAGUCGCAGAACCAAGAUUGAAACCCACCAUUCCCGUGUUGUUGUUCUCACCUUCAGAGCUCCCUCUCUGAGCAGAUGGUUUCGUCUCUUCAAGAGGGAUCGCAGGUGUGUGUCCCUGGAACAGAGCAAUGUGACCAAACAGCUUGUCUUUCCUCGAGAACGUUGUGCCACAAGAACAUAGCCACUUGUUUUUCCCGCAGUGCUUCUCGUGGGUUUUCAGAUCCGCGAUGACAGAGAAUUUCUUGGUAUGGCAACGGCUGCAAGUGAAGCUCUUGUCGCAGUGUGUGCGUUUAUAAUGGUUCUUGACGCACAGUAUCGUCUUCAAAGCCUGGAACUUUUUGUGAUCCUUGUUACGUUUGCAACCAGGGAAUGGGCACGAGUACCUUUUGAUCAGCAUCGGUUCAGUCCCUGGCACAGCUUCUUUGUUCGGUUUAGCCAGAGCAGCAGGUGUUUUGUACUCAUCUCCGUGCCCUCUCAUGUGCAUCCUCAGAUUCGCGUCUCUCUUGAAACCCUUGCCACAUAUCGUGCAGAAGUGUGUAUGCGGCGCGAGAAUCUCCUCUUUCUCGAGCUGCAAUAUCUCAUACGAGCCAGGAGGAAGGUUCUCUACACCUUCCUCUGCGUCGUCCUCGUCUUUCAUCUCAUGUUCUUCUACAACAUGGCUAUCUCUCUCAUCAACAACAAUCGGCUUAGGCAAAUCGAAAUCUUGUGUUGCGCCACGUUGGUGGUUACUGUUUUGGCUCUGUGAAGCAACGUUAUUAGCCUCCCUUGGACAAGGGAACACGGCCGAACCGGUGUAUGGACCCGGCGCCGUUGACGACAUAUUAUGCUUAACAGAUGGAAGAAGACUACCUGCGGUGGAAAUCAGUUGUAUGAUUAUGGAAGUAAGAUCCGUCGUGAUGAGUUGCUGCUGCUGCUGAGCCACGAGCCCGUUCCGACCAACGAUCAGAUGAACAAGAUCCUGCAGCUCGUGAAUCUUCUGUUCCAUAAAGGAUAAGUUGCUCAGCAUCGUUCUUGGAUCCCAAGCUUGAGCCUUGACACCUUGCAAGAAAUCAACAUUAGCUUGAGUACUGUUGUUGUUCUUGUUGUUGUUGUCGUUGUCUUGUCCUGAAGAAGGUUUCAUCUGGUCGAAAGCUUGCAAAUUUUUCUCGAUACCCAUCUCGUAAUCCAAGAUUUCAGCAUCUUCCCACUUUUGCUGUGAUGUGAAACCUGCGAAGGCUUGGUUUCCAUCUUCCAACUUUGAAGAAGAUGAUAAGCUUCCCCAAUUGUUCUGGCACAUAUCGUCUUCUGUUUCCAUUUUUUUUUUCAAGAUCUUGUAUUCACCUAUAAAACCAUAAGGAUCAAAUCAAUAAAGCUAAUAACUUGGAAACUGAAAAAAAAAAGUUUUGAAAUCAGAAUCAGAAUUAGGACCAGCUCAAAGUUCUUUAACACAGAUGCACAUGGAUAUGUCACAGAAUCAAAUUCGAGUGAAGCCUCAUUUUACCUUAACAGAGAGUCAAAAUCCAAAUCUUCUCACACAACUCUUAAGAUCUGUAAACGAAUGAUAGAGCUUGAGGUCAAAGAAAAAAAAAAGAUUCUCACUUUCAUUGAAUCUGAAAAAAAAAACCAAAUCACCACUUGCGGACAAAAAGACAGAAGAAAACCCCAAAUCAAAUAACGCUUUCUCAAGCAAAAACAAAGAGAAAAUCAAACUACAGACGUCAAAUUCACUGAGUAAAAUUGAGAACAGGAAAGGAAAAUUAACUGGAAGUGAAGCUUCAAAUGGUUCUUCGAGACCUCCAAUGGCCGCUUGAGAGGAUAGAGAGAGAGGAAGGUAGAGAGAGAGAGAGGAAGGUAGAGAGAGAGAGAAGGAAGCAGAGCUCUGAAGCGGGGCUCAUGUUUAUUGAGCAAAAAUCUUCUUUUUGGUGCUCUUCCACUUUCUGAUUUACCCCGAGUAAAGUCAACGAGAUGAUUUCAGCCGUUGAAAUAUAUCAAAAAUCAGCAUCCGUUAGAUCUGACGGUGCUUAGUCGUUUUAUCGCAUCAAAAACAGUAACGCUACACUAGAGCCGUUGAUUAAUGGGAAAAAAAAAGGAUGACGAUACGAUAGAGAAGGGGGUGGUGGGGUCCAUAAGAUAAUAAGUCCUAUGUAAAUUGUUAUAUUUAUUUCUCUUCUGUCUCUCUCUGUCCAUGCGCUGCAUUUGCAUAUUUGACUUGGCAACUCGAAAUUGAAGAUGAACAUUAAUUGACACAAAAAAAUUUAGUCGUUUAUUCAUUGUUAAAAUAAUACUCCUUAAUAUAAGUAAUGUAUAAAAAAAUUUUACAAAGAUUAAAGAUUCAUUUAAUUUUUUUAACUAUUUUCAUAUUAAAAUAUUAUUUAUUAUCUGUUAAAAUAUAAUUCAAUACAAAAACAAUAUGCAUAAUACAAAUAAAAAUAAAAAAAAUUAUUGAAUUUUAUGUUGAAAACUGAAAACAUCACUAACACUUAUUCAAAGACAAAAAAAAUCUGUAAAACAUCACUUAUUUCAAAAAAAAUAGUAUAUCAAAAUUUUAACUUAAGAAAAAUACUCAGAAUAAAUUAUAAUUUAUACUCUUUCUCUGUUUCACAAUAAAUGUUAUUUUAAUAUUAUAUUUUUUAUUUUAUAAUCAAUGUCAUUUUAGAUUUAUAAUACAAAUUUUAACAUAAAAUACGUAAUUUAAUUUCAGCUAUAAUGAAGAAUUCCAAAAGUUGUUAUGUAUUGUAAGAGUAUAACUGAAUUUUUACUUUAUUAUAUUAAUUUGUAUGAAAAAUAUCAAAAUGAAAGUUAUUAUAAAAAGGAAAUAUAUAUUAUUCUUAUGGUUAGGCUAAUGAUAUAAAUUUGUUUAUAAGAUACAUAAAACAAAUUGGAUAAACAUUGUUUAUGGGAUUUUUGGUUCUCUUAGGGACAAAUUUUAUAUAAAACAAAGAACCACGUGAAAUCUAGGAAAACACUAUGGUUAGGUGUUUUCUGAUGGCUCUCCGACGCAUCAUUUAAAAACCGGUUUAAAGAAAACCACAAAAUGGCAAAUUGGAGAGAUUAGAAGGAUUGAAAAACGAAAAAAAGGAAAGCGGGUUGAGAGCUCUUAAGAAUGGGAGAGUUUGCUUGGGCCGAAGUUUAGUGAGCUUUUUAGAUGGAAAAAGAAGAAAUGUAAGAGUUUGUGCAUGAAAAUGCUCUACGAUUUUUAGGAACCGCCGUAGAGUAGAGAUAAAAGAAUGGUUGGAAUGAUAACUGAAAAGUAAGAAUGCUAAGCCUUGUAAUACAUGAGUAUCCAGAGAGAUAACAUGAGCUUCAAGGUAGCGAGAGGGCUUUUUAGGUGGAAAAAAAGAAUAAAUGUAAGAGUUUGUGCAUGGAAAUGCUUUACGGUUUAGGAACCGCCGUGGAAUGGAGAUAAAAGAAUGGUCGGAAUGAUGACCAAAAAGUAAGAAUGCUAAGCCUUGUAGUACACAAGUAUCUAGAGAGAUAACAUGAGCUUGAAGGUAGUGAGAGAAUAACCCCUUUCUUGAGUAUUAGUAUCUAUAGAGUAUUAGUAUAUUUAUAAUCUGAUGAUCGAGUCAAUUCUAUGAUUAUAAGUUCAUUCCAUACCGGACCAGACCGGAAUAAGGUUAGAUACAUUCUCAUUAUGAGAAGGGGUCAUUACUGAAUCAGACCUUGGGUUGUUGGUUUUGUAGAUCGGUCUGGGAUCUAACUUUAUUGGAUCUUAAUCUUGUGCUUGCUUCAUGCUUCUGACAGCCUAACCAACUUUUCUUGGCGUGUUUUUCCUUCUGUGAGACUGUUCCUUGGAGCAUCCCUUUUACUCUCAAUGUAUGGGUUGAGUUCGGCGGUUCGGACGUGAUAUGGUCUUCGCUGAACCUCUGCUUUUCUCUUGCCUUCUGCGAGAGGUCACUAUCACCUGACACAUGUACGCAUUGAGCAUUAAAUGCCAACCUCGUGGGUUUACAACUUCAUAUUUUGAUUGUCGAAUAGAGGGAAAUUUGAACAGUGUUUCCUGCUUAAUAGAGCAUCCAUAUCUAGCCAGGAUUCUUUGAUACUAGGAAUGGGCUGUCGUGGUUGUUUUGAUACCUAGCCAGGAUUCUUUUUUCGGGUACCUGUCCGGGUUACACUUUCUUACGUCCUGACCUUUCCAGAUCAUUGAGCCUAGGUCUAGGACAUAGAGAAGGCAACCAUUUUAUCACUCAGUUCUUGACCUCCUUGUCCCUGACAACAUGGCUUGCGCUAUCAGGUACGAGGAACCCGAGAACAUGUGGAUUUUUAUGCUGGAUCUCUCAAAUUUGAAAGAUUUCAAGACCUGGUGCUAUAUGCUUAGAUCUAGUCCAAUACAAAAUCUAAUUUGGUCUGGGGGCCGUAUCUGCAAAAAAAGUCAAUGACGCCACGUACAAACACAUGAUUCAUCCACAUAGGAAGGAUUGGACUUAUCCCCAAUAAACAUAAAGGUUUUAAUAUUACAUUUUUUUUUCCUUUUGGAUGUGUUAUCUUUAAAUGGAGAUGUUUGAGAAAAUAGAGGAAUAUAGUUGUUGAUGUGUUUUCCUCGAAUUUAUAUAAAAAAACUACCAUGCAUGGAAAAAAUUCAGGGUCCUUUAACAAAUAGAAACAAAUAUUCUAAUAUACUUUCUAAAAAAAUCUGAUAUUGCGAUAUUUAAUAAUAAUACACAAAACAAAUUGUGUAUUAUUAUCUUUUAAUUAUAAUUGUAUUACUUAUUACUAUAUUUUGUUACAAGUCAACAAUUCUUGCCACAAUAAGAGAGAUUCUCAAUUGCAAACUUUCAUCACUGUAUAUUGGGUGUCUUCUCAGGCAGAAAAAAAACAUGUGAACGCUUACAUCCCUUAUGGAUUAAGGUCGUCGAGCACUUUGAGAAACCUUGGCAAAGUAGAAUCUGUAGAGGUCCUACCACACUCACACUCAAUCUAAUUUUUAAGGCUUUCAUUUUCGUUAAUAUUGGGGUUGCUAUAUAUAAGAGAAGAACCCGUUACGCUUUGUAAACUAAACAACAAUCUUCAGAUGGGGAUUGAUUGUUAUGUUUAUGUGUCUUUGUCGAUAAUGUUUAUGGUUGUUGAUGAAAAUAAUAUUGUAUUUUUUUUUUCCAACAGAAAAAAAAUUGUUACCAAGCCUCAUUAACUCAACUGGUAAAGGGAUAUUAGGCAAAGUGUAACACUCGUAUUCGGAAAAACAUUACCAAGUCAAAAAUUUGGUUAAGAAAGUUAUGAGUUAUGUAACAAAGAAUGGGAAAUAUCAAAGAGGUUAACUGAAAAAAGUCAUAAAAUAGGUUUAGCUGGAGAAAAAUUGGGUUUGUUUGAGUGAUUCCGAGCUAAGUCCAACGAAUCAAAAGCUACAAUGCCAUAAGUCGCAUAAAAAAGAGCCCCAAUGCCAUCGAUGAAAUAAUCAAUUCAGUUUUGAUUUAUUUUAAAUAGCAAAAAGGUGGUUGUUUACUACCCUAUCCAUGAAUGUCUCCUUAAUUACGAGAAAACCUGGGUAUAUGAAAACCCACCCAACUGAAAUCGGAUCCGACCCGCGUAUCCCCUUGGAUUUACCCGAAUGAAACUUGAAUUCUUUGUAAAAAAACCUCCAUACAGUUAAGAAUUUUGAAAAAAACCGAUUGAGUGUUUUCCGGCGAAGAAUCCGGCGAGUGCGUUCUUUUUAUUUCCACUCCACAAUCUACAAAUUCCGUUGUAAUCGAUUUCUCCAUCUUCUCUUCGUUUCGACUUCUCCAUGGCUCGUGUGAAACAAAAAGGCGUCCAGUAUGAGUCAAGUGAAAGCCGGGAAACGUUGCCUGAAACAGAAUCGCAUUCUCCAGCCGCAGCGAGAGAAUCUGAAGUAAAUCCUGAAACCGCGGAGAAAGAGAAAGGAAAUGGAGAAGGAAACCCUAUUCCUACCGAAGCCGAUGUAAACCCUAUUCCUACCGAAGCCGAAGCCGCGAUAAAGUCAAGCGAAGAUGUUUCUCAAGCCGCGAUAAACCCUAUUCCCACAGAAACAGAAAUGGAGAAGGAAACCUCUCCGAAUCCUAUUGAGGAGACCGCAGCCCAAAAAAUAACCACAGAAGAUGAAACCGAAACGAUUAACCCCAUGGAAGAAGAAGAAGAGGCUGAGGGUGAUGAAGCAGAGGAUGGAAAGGAGGAUGGUGAAGAAGAAGAGGAGGGAAAGGAGGGUGAUGAAGAAGAGGAGGGCAAGGAGGAGGGUGAUGAACAAGAUUCGGGAAAUGAAAAGGCUGAUGAACAAGAGGAGGGAAGUGAUGAGGCUGAAGAAGAAGAGCAGGAGGCCGAAGAACAAGAGGAGGAGGCCGAAGAACAAGAGGAGGAGGCUGACAAAAAAGAGGAUGAGGCUGAAGAACUAGAGCAGGAGGCUGAAGAACAAGAACAGGAGGCUGAAGAGCAAGAGCAGGAGGCUGAAGAACAAGAACAGGAGGCUGAAGAGCAAGAGCAGGAGGAUGAAGAAGUGGAACACGAACCCUCACCGGCGAAGGUAUGCGUUUAAUAGAUAGAGUCUACUGAGUUAAAUGGGACAACUUUGACCAAUUUAAGGUGUAGUGGUAUAACAUUAUGUAAUUGGAGUAUAAGUAGGACAAAUAGGACAAUUGUGGGGAAUAUGUUUGACUGGUUUUGGUACAAUUUCGUACAAGGGGGACAACUGAGAUAACUAGAUUAUUUGUACAAUUGGAACAACUGGGAAAACAUUGUAUGCGGGUAAGAGAUAGAGUCUACUGAGAUAAAUGGGACAACUUUGAUUAAUUUAAGGUUUAUUGGGAUAACAUUAUGUAUUUGGAGUAUAAGUCGGACAAAUAGGACAAUUGUGGGAAAUAUGAUUAAUUGGUUAUGGUACAAUUUCGUACAAGUGAGACAACUGAGUUAACUGGAUUAGUUGUUUCGGACAAGUGGGACAACUGAGUUAACUGGAUUAGUUGUUUCGUACAAGUGGGACAACUGAGUUAACUGGAUUAGUUGUUUCGGACAAGUGGGACAACUGAGUUAAGUAGAGUAGUUGUACAAUUGGAACAAAUGGGAUAACUUUGUGAGACUGUCUUUGGAUUUCAGGAUACGGAUGAGGGAAACCAACCAAUGGGACCUGAGAAGCUCUACUUCGGUCCAACCGAGUAUAGCAAGACGGCAAGGAUAAUGACGAGAUGUAGUAUGAAGCAUGUUUUUGAAGUGAUUGAGUCUCUUCUAGAAGAGGAUAAAUGGUUCAGAUCACACCAGCAGUUUAAGCACAUAUUUCAUAUGGCUAGGGAGCCAAAUCACAUGAAUCAAGGACUUUGGAUGCUGCUCCUUCACACAGCUUACACUGAGAGGCGAAAUGAGGUUUGGUUUGUGGUUAAUGGAGUUCCUAUCAGGUAUUCUAUGAGAGAGCAUGCACUGUUAAGUGGACUUGACUGCCAUGAUUACCCGCAAGGCUAUAAGAAAUUGGGUAGUUUGAAAUUUGUGGAGAGAAUGUUUGGAAGGAAAGCACAAAUCAAAAUCGCAGAUGUGAAAGCUCAGUUACUCUCAAUGGAGGAACCCUCUCUAGACAGGAAGAAGCUGGCAGUCUUGUAUUUUUUAUGCAUAGUACUGAAAGCGAAAUCCAAGAUUGAUGGGAACAUUGAUGAAUUCUUGCUUAGAGUGGUUUCUGAUUUGAAUUUGUGUAAAAGGUUUCCAUGGGGGCGUUACACAUAUGAUGAGACCGCAAAGGAGAUCAGGCGAGUGGUGACCAAGUUUGAUGGCCAAGUGAGAGCAAAAGGAGAAGCAUUUUCGUUUUCUGGUUUCAUUGUUCCACUACAGGUUAGUCUCAUUUUAAUAGGUGUCUAAACGUUAUGAUUUUAUGAUUGUAACUUUGAUAUUGUAUUUUGUAGAUUCUUGCAUUUGAGUGUAUUCCAAAUCUUGGACGCAAAUUUAGAGAAGUUGUACCUGCUGCGGAUGACUGUCCAAAGAUGUGCAAACACAAAUUCACUGAAAUUGCAAUGAAAGGAAUACCUUUGGAUGACAUCAAUGAAGACAUUGGUACUACUACCGAGGUGAGUUUUCAUUGCAUUAGAUUAUGAGUUUGUAUGGAUGUUUGGAUGAUGAUAUUUAAUAAGCGAUUGGUACUACUAUUAAUAGGAUAUUUCUAGCAUCUUGGAAGCUGAUUCAGGCGAAGUUCGUCUAUUGGGGCGCAUAUUGGAACCCGGAUUCGAUGAUGGGAUAGGGUUUAUUGAUCCAGUUGUUGAGAAUUGGAUUGAUUACCUAACCAUUCAGAAUAAGCAGAUUUGUUGGAAAAAUCUAUACGAGAUGGAGAUUAGCUCCCGCGGUGUGAUCAGAGAGGAUGUGGCACCUGAUUAUGCGAAUGCAGCGAAUCCAGCGAAUCCUCCUCCUUCCAUUACGUCACUCUUGGAGCUCCAAGCUUUGAUGGAGAAAGGCUUUAAGGAUAUGUCGGAGAAGCUUGAAAGCUUUGAUGGAAGAAUUGGAGUUCUUGAGAUGUGGAAGAGUGGGUUUAUGGCACCAACAUCUUCACCACUCGGUCAAACAUUUUCUCCUAUGGCAACAACCGGUUCACCACUUCCUGAAACCUCCUCACGGCAACCACAUGAAGCGUAUCAGUUGUUGGAACGUGUAGAGGCGUUACAGGAUUCUGUUUGGCAUCAAGCGACGGUUAAGGCAAUUCUAGAGAGUGGACGUUACUUGAUCACCUUUGUUGCGACAGCGGAGAAUCGUAUAGUGGAAGCUUCAGAGAUUAGGCCAGUCCACUCAAGGACACCAAAAGCAUCGUCAGCACGACCAGCAGCAACAUCCUCUUCACGACCAGCAGCAGCAUCGUCAUCACGAGCAGCACCGGCGUCGUCAGCACGAGCAGCAGCAGCACCAGAAUCACCUCCAAAAAAAAGGAAACGGUCAAAAUCGACGUACAAGAAGUCACCUUGGGUCUCAGAUGGAAAGCCAAAGAAGACGAAGAAAUCGAAGUAGAAGUGUCGGAUGUGGUAGUUUUUCUUGUUUUCUGGAUGUUAUGUUCUUUUUUUAACUUGCGGAUGUUUGCGGUUGUUUAGUUUAAGAAGGAUUUGUCAGUGGAUGUUUAGUUAAACUAUGUUGGAUUUGUUUGCGGAUGUUUAGUUUAUGAUGUGUGAUAUUCUAAUUUGGGACAAUACAGGACAACAAAGUUAAACAAAUUAGGGACAAUACAGGACAACAAAGUUCAACAAAGGACAACAAGUAGGACAAUAAAGGACAACAUAGUUUAAAUAUGUAGGACAAUACAGGACAACAAGGUUCAACAAAGUAGUUCAGUACAGGAUAACAAAGUAGUUCAAUAACGGAUCUUGAGCUUCAACCUUCAUUCGAGCACCUCUUCUUGCCCCAGCAGCCUCAAGAGCUUCAAUCCUCGAUAUAAUGACAUCAAACAAAGACUUCAUCUCCUCUUGAGUUUCUUUUACCAUUUCAAUCUCUUCAACUAUGGCUUCAUCCCACCAUUUUUUGAAGCCACAGCUUGGAACCUGAAAAUCCACUUACGAAAAACUAAUUUUCGCGGAAUCCAGAUAGUAUAUCUGUAAAUUGUUUAAAUUCCGAAUUUUAACUUACCUCUGGGAAAUUUUUGGGACCACAGCAACCUCUGGGAAUUUUAACUUACCUCUGGGAAUCCAGGCAGUUUUUUUUUAGGAAGAUUCCUUCUUCGACAUUUUUGAGGAAGAUUCCUUCAUCGACAUUGCUCUGCGGCUGAAACCCUAAAAAAACGAGGAAGUGCUCACUAGAAUAAGAGGAAGAACAAUUUAAAGAAAAGAGAUUUCAAAAACUAUUUAAUUAUUCUGCCGCCAUAGUAAACACACGUGCUUCACGUGCAAAAACAAUAUGAUUUAGGUUUUCACAUAGUUGUACGUAGUUGUAUUGUUGUCCAAUAUUUGUAAGAGUUGUACUUUAAGCGUUUUCAAAUAUUUCCAGUUGACCCAUGACCAUAUACCACUGAUUGUAGUUGUCCAUCAUUGUUUACAGUUUCAUGCCACCAAUUAAAAGGUCCUGAUUGAUCCGUUUUGAAAAAUACAAAAAUUUGCAUUUAUCCAUCAUCAGGUGAUGAGUAUUAGUGAAGACUCUCUUGUUUUAUAAGGAGUGUUCACUGUGAAACAAAUUUGUUAUCUUAUUUUCUGACCUGUUGCUUAAAACAUAUGCUUCUUCUAAUUGUACAACACAAAUACAACAUAGUUGUACUGAUUGUCCAGUUGCCCCAAUUUCAAACAUAUGAUUCGUCACUUGUACAGCAUAAAUGCAACAUAGUUGUCCGAGUUGUCCAGUUGUCCCAAUAAAAUAGUUGUACUAGUUGUCCAGUUGUCCCAAUUUCAAACAUAUCCUUCUUCUAAUUGUACAGCACAAAUGCAACAUAGUUGUCCGAGUUGUCCAGUUGUCCCAAUAAAUAUAGUUGUACUAGUUGUCCAGUUGUCCCAAAUAUUUCCAAAUGUUUCGUUACUUGUACAUCACAAUUCCAACAUAGUUGUACUAAUUGUCCAGUUGUCCCUAAACCCCAAAACAUGAUUAGAUGAAAAAAACACAGUUGUCCAGUUCUUUCUGGGUUACACCUGUUGGUCGUUUGCUCCUGGACUUGACUCUGGGAAUAACCACCGUCCCAAGUUAAUUCCUGGGUUAGACCUGUUGUUUGCACGCUUCCGGCGAGGUUCUCCGGUGGAGGGAAAUCGCUUGUCUUGCUUUCUUCCACGCUUUUUGAUGUAGUCUGGUGGGUGCACAAUUGACUGUCUUAUGUUCUCUGGAACAUCCCAAGUAGACUCGUGUGGAACCAGAUAUAUGGUUCUGCUAUACGCCAAUGACCAAGCCUUUGUCAAGUAGUAUUCCAAGCACAGAUCAGAGAGUUCUAUAUCCACAGAUCUUCCUUCUUGGCGCAUUAGGGCCAUCGUCGCUGCUAUAGCAUGCACGCAAGGAAUCUUGUCAAUAUCAAAACAUCUGCAACUACAAUUUCUCCUUAACAAAUCAACCUGAUAUCUCUUCCCAUCAACUCCAGUGACACUGUAUUCAAGUUCACUGCCGUUCAGCUCAGUUACUAGUAGGUGAGUUGCAACUGCACAACGUGUAUGUAAUUCAUUUUCCACAUACGGCACCAACUGUUUUCCUAAGCUUGUUGCAGAAACAGUGUCUUUUCUAUGCUUAUUGAACCACUCAGAUAAUUUUUCAACAUAUGCAUCAAUCAAAGGCAGUAGAGAGUACUUCCUUGCCCUCUUGAAUACACUAUUCAUCGACUCACAAGCAUUACUGGUGUCCAAAUUGUACUUGUCUCCUUUAAAAUAACACCUAGCCCAUUUUUCCACAGGAACAGCAGCAAGAUACUCGGCGGCUUUAGGAAACCUCCUCCCAAAAUCGGUGUAUGCGCUGAUGAAGUCAUACUCGGUAUACAUAUGAGCACAAUCUCUAAAUCUCGCAGCACAAAUAUCUUUAAAACCAACAGCAGCUUUACCUCUCACGUUCUGCGACAAAUGUCACAUGCAAUGUCCGUGCUGAGACUUAGGAUACACCUCAUGAACUGCCUUCAAAAUGCUCCUAUGCCUAUCGCUCAUAAAAACCAGCUCUUCAUCAUCUGGUAUGACAGUUUUCAGUGUUUCUAAAAACCAAUUCCAACUUCCAUCUUUCUCCCUAUCAAUUACACCCAUUGCAAUGGGGUAAUGAUGAUGAUUAGGGUCUUGAGCUGUAGCAAAUACAAGCAUACCACCAUAUAUAUUUUUCAGAAAUGUUGCAUCCAUGACUAUGACUUUUCUCAUUGCUCUAAAACCUUCUAUACAAGCACCCAAAGCAAUGAAUAGAUAUUUGAACUUAUUUUCAGCAUCCACCUUCACGCAUGUAACUGUACCAGGAUUUACCCUCUCUAACACGUAUAGAUAAGAACGCAAUUUCCUAAAACUUUCUACAGGACUCCCUCUCACUUCACUAACAGCUAGCUUUUUGCCUCUCAAUGCAGUAGAGUAAGACACAUUUAUUCCAGCUUCUACCUGAACAACAUUGAUAAUACUUUUGGGCGCGGAGGUGUCAAUCUGACCUGGAUAUGCAUCACGCAAGACGGAUGCAACUACUUGUGGAGUACCUUUUCUUCUCUUCCGACUUGUACUCGCGACAACCCUGGAGCAGGUAUGAACACUCCUAUAUACUCUGACACUGAAAUAUGUGGAUUCCUUAAUUCUGGCAGCAUGUAAAUACCAUGGACACCCACGAUCAGCUUGUUGGCAUUUCAGUAUCACUCGACCCUGGUCAGACUUCUCGGUUUUUACCCCAAAACACCCUUUAUGUGCAGCUUUAUCAACCAUUACUCUCAAUGCCUCCUUCGAACAGAACUGUUGACCUUUUUCAAAACCUGCACCAUCAUCCCAUUCUAGAACAAAUUGAGUUUGUUCUUCUUCCGGUGGAAGUUCAACAUGCUCAUUCUCAUCAAAACCGGUUUCCAAGCCAUCUUCAUUCUCCAUCUGCUUCUCACUAUCAGGCUCAUUAGUACGCUCAUUAGUAGGCAUGUUCUCUUGAUUUCCUCUUUCCUCAGCCCUGAAAAGAACCAUAACACCACCAUUCGCUACAUUAUCCCCAUUAGCUACAUCAUCCUCACAUAGCUGAUCUCUUUUGUCUGUAUCCACCUCUUCGAUAACCUCCACAUUCAAAACAGAUCUCAGACCAUCUUUAUCAAAUGUCGUCAGAUAAGCAUAUACAUCAUCAUCACCGAAAAUACAUGACUCCAUUUGAGGCUUAGCUACCAAAGGAAUGUAGCUCAAUUUCAGAUUCGUCGUAUUGGAGCUUAGUGCAAUCUUCUGGCAUAUCUUCUCUACAAGAGCUGAAUAAGUAAUCCCAUCCAAAGAUAAUCUUUUAAAUGAUAUUGCAUAUAUAGGUUUUACUGAAAUCCAUUUAAACUCCUCCUCGUUCCGUGAAUAAUAUCCUCCAUACUCAAAAUGUAUGUUGGUGUGGCCAAUGCUCAUUAUAUCCUGGUACGCAGCAAAAAAAAAAUCAUAUUACCAAUUAUGUUUCUCACAAUUAUACCUUUUAUACUAGUUGUCCCGAAUUUCUCACUAUAACAUUUGUACCAGUUGUCCCACAUUAUCAGUUUUAACAGAGACUUGUACUAGUUGUCCCAUAAUAUGAUAAGUCCGAGACUUGUACUAGUUGUCCCAUAAGCCGGAGACUUGUACUAGUUGUCCCAUAAUUAUCAGUUCCACCAUUUGUACUACUUGUACUACUUGUCCCCUAUCUUUCACUUAUACUUUUUGUACCAGUUAUCUAAAUUCCCAAACUUUCUUGCCUAAAUCCUUUGGUUCCACAUCCUCGUUUCACAUCUACCAAACAGAUUCAACACUAAAAAUCGACAAAUUAACAUCGAUUCGAAGAGAACUUAACUAAUAAGCAACAAACUUAGGCAAUGUACAUAGUUAAACAACCACCAAACAAACAAAGAAAACCCCUAAUUUAUAAAUCCCCAAAAUACACACCACCAUACCUAUUCGAAGUCUUCUCACACAAAUGGCCGGAUCAGAAAGAGUAGUUAAACAACCAAAAAUGAGCCGGCGCCAGCAAAUGACGGUGGUUCGAAUCAAGCUCUCUUCGCCGGAGGUGUACGGAAACGAGCUAGGGGAAGAAGAAAGCCACAACUUUUUAAAAAAAAAAACAAAAAACUCAAUUUCAUUCUUUAAAAUUUAAUAUUCAAUUUAUUAAGGUUAUAAACGUCAUUACACUUUUACUUAUGGCAUUAGAUUAUGUUAUGGCAGGUGAGAUUUUUUUUUUGCGAGUUAGGGCAUAUCAGCCACGCGCUCAAGUCCAACAUUCAACGAGCCAAAAAAAAGUUUUAUCCGAGCUAAAAUCAGCUGGUCGAGAUUUAGCUGGAUAUUCCGACAAGCCGAGUUUUUUGGGUCUUGGUCCGAAUUUGGAUAAGGUUGGUCAGGAUUAGACAGCAUUUGUCGGCUUCCGGCGUAUGCGGGAACAUUUAUCAGGUAAGCGCGCUAAGGAGAAAGUGUGGAACUGGAAAUGGUUAUUGGUUUUAGCCGAGCGAGUGUUUACGCGAGAACGGUUAUUCUCGGAUAAAAGACGCGCAUGAGCGGUAUUUACAGGAGAGAUUGUAUGGACUGACACGGGAACGGUUUCUGAGAGGUUUUCUUUGCAAAAAACGAUGAAGGCCUAUUUAAGAAAGGCCUCUAGCUCGUUAUUUCUUUUCGUGCGACCAAAUAACUCUGAAAGAAAGUUAUAGAAAAUCCAAGAGAGAAGUUAUCUGAAAGAAUUUCUGUCUAGUCGAGAGAAAUUCGAUCAUAGCCAAGAGCGAUUGAGAUUCUGUCGAGUGUGGUACAGAUUUAACCCGUGCGUGACUGUGGUCUAGUCAAUUGUGGGAACGUGUCUGAGCGAUCGAGAAAAUUUUUCUUUACCAAAUCUGUCCAAGAAAAGCUAAGGUGAGUGCGUGACUGUGGUCUAGUUUAGUCGUUUCUUGCUUAGAUGCUUGUCUGUUCCGUGUUGUUUUUGUGCUUGUCAUGACAUUUCUGCUGGCUACCGUGAUGAUCAAUCCACCUUAUCGGUGAUCUAGAUCAGGCAAGGCGUUCGCGGUUGUGAUGCUCGUUGAGGCUUGUCUGGUUGCGGAAGGAUCGGCCGGAUAAACGUAUAUGGUCAUGUGCAGAUAGUUUUUUGUUCUGAUGAGUACUUGACUCGAUGAAUGUUUGAUGUGAUUAUGUUAUGGUUUGGUGAGACAUGAUUACUGCUCUCACUAGAAAAUUAUGUUGCUUAUGCUUCCUUUUAUGGAUGCAGGUAGUAAGGAUGUUUAAUCAGCGCAAACGGACUAAGGUUGUGGAGAAAGAGAUGGUAAGAUCUGGGUAGUUAAGGUCUAGUUUCAAUGUAAUAGCUUAUAUGCGAACUGAUCAUUGUACUAAAACUCCAUUUUUAGUUCAAGUAUUCUGCUUAAUUCCACUUAUGUUCGGUUAAGACUUGUCUAUUUGAUUUAAUGCACAAAAAAAUUAAGAAAAUGCUAAAUAAUCCGGAUCAAAAAAAUUAACAAAGUGUUGGUUAAAAACUAAAAUCUGGGUUAAGAUUCUACACAAAGCUUAGAAGAUUACAGGAUUGAGUGAUGCUUGCGACAGAACUAAUAUUAUAUGCUGUGAUUUUGGAUUUCGGAGAUUAUGGGCUUUGGCCUAAAACCUCUUACUAACUAAAACAAAAUUGCUCAUUGAUUAAAUAAAAAAAUGUUUUUAUCACCUACCAAUAAGACAAUAAAAAUUUAAUACAGAAAAAUAAAAAAUAAUAUUUUUUUGCCAAAAAAAAUUUUUGUGACGUUAUUCCCCGGCUAAUAAUAUAGGACAAAAUCUUAAUAUAUUUUAAAAAUCAAAAUUAUUUGAAUCCUUAACUUAAUAAAAAUAAUAACAAUUUAAUUAACAGACUAUAAAUUACCUAAUUUAAAUUCUUAAAUUCAAGAUGAAGCACGGAUAAGCUCUUCAAAAUUUUCAAAAACCUAAAAGAUCAGUUGCAGGUACAAAAUCCAACUAAAACCACUGGUCAGAAAACAAACCAGAUAAUCUGAUCAAGUGUUUUUCGCCAAUCUUCUUUGUCGCUUUUAUUCUGUUUCUCAAAAAACUUCUAAAGGCACUGAGAUGACACGAUUUUGGCAAAGUGUACAUGUUUUUAUCUUCUCUAUAAAUAGUGAUUUAUCGCUAUAAUAUCUUUAUCAUAAGAAGCAAUUUAGAGAAAUUCAAAUAUAUACUCCCACACUUAUUAAAUAUUUAUCAUUUAUCAAAGAAAAUUCACGUAUGAACUCGUAUAAGGAGUUUCAGGAUCUUAUCACUUACUUAUAUGGAUAUUGUUAUCAUAUUAUUUUUAUUUACGUUGAUUGUUAUAAAGUCAACUUGUCCUUGCAGAAUCAUUCAUCUCUCUCAUAUCGUAUUUUUCACAUCACAUGUCAUGAAUUAGCAAGACCAGGAAAAGAUAUCUCUUUUAUACCUGAUUCAUUUAUCUUUCUGCAACCACAUUCUCCAUAUUACAUAAUACGAAUUUUCGGGUUUAAAAAAAAAAGCGACUCUGUAACAUCCCUAUCCCGAACUUACUAAAAAACCGAGGAAUCGGGCGUGUUAAGUUGAUGGUCUAGCCUCAUUUGGUUAACCAUCAGGUCUGGUCCAUGGUGAGAAUCAUGUAUACCAGGAACAAAAACGCCUGUGUAACAACAACAUUAGAUGAAACAAUCCAAGCUAACCUGAAAAGAUAAAAGGGAAGAGGAGGGAUGACUAUUGGGAUUACUCAAUGAGGACGAGUCUUAGGAGACCCGUUUAUCACUUCCAACACAUAAUAUGAAUUAAGAUAUAAAAAGUUCAAAUCUAAAACAAGCUCAAGAAAAUAAUAUGAAUAUAAGUAUUUUUUAUAAAUUGUUAUCUUUAAUUCUAUUUCCUCAUUUAAUUCUAUUUCCAAUUCAAUUGUCAAAUUCAUCGAUAACAUCCUCGACCCUAAAUCGAUUAAUUAUCAUUUCACAAUCACAAACAAUUUCACAUAAGAGCAAAAUGCUCUGCAGAAGAGGAAAUACAAUCCUGGAUUGAUCAUGUGAUGGAUACCUAAGUCGAUACUAAACAAGCACUGCCGGUUUAUUCCUUCCGACGAUAUUAACUAAGUUCAAGACACUCAAACAGGACCAAAGAAACUAAUGAAUCUAACAUUAAACAUCCACACCAACCAUCACCAACAUUCAAUCAAUUAUAACAAUCUAACUCAUCAAAGACAUUAACAAUUCAUAGAAACACAACAACAUAACCUAACAAUAAAACUAGCAGCUUCGGUUUAAGAAUAAACUAAUCACAUCACUAAAACAUAUAUAUGAAAGACUGUGAAUAGCAACGAGCCCUCACCUUUGCUCUUGCGGAGGAGGAGCAGAAGGAAAGCGGUGCAGUAGAGCAUGGAACUCUUCAUUGGAGGAGGAGAGGAGUGGUGGCGGCGCGGUGGAGGAAGCUCGCCGUGGAUGAAGGUCGGCAAGGAAGAAGCUUUAGCGGUGGUAGAGCUUCAUGGCAGCACGAGCAGCGAGGUGAAGCAGUGAUGCGGCGGCACGAGGAAGAGGAGACACCGAGUGAGACACCAAGGUGGAGGAGAAGCAUCGGCCAAGGAAGAGAGGAAAGGAAGAGAAGGGGCCGUGGCGCGAGGAAGAGGAGAGGGAAGGAGAAGUCACGGCGAGGGAGAGAAGAGGGAAGGAGAAAUCGCAGUGAGGGAGAGAGGAAGAGGUGUGGCAUGGCGAGAAGGAGGAGAGGAGAAGAAGCUUGCGACAUGAAGAAGGAGAAAAAAAAGAGAGGGGGUCGGAAUGGAGAAAAAAAAAAUAAAGAGUUUGGGUUUAUUUUACAGAAAAAUUAAUAGAGAGGGAUUUUUAUAAGUGGAUUCUGGUUUAUGAGAGAAAUUAAAUUGGAUCGGAAAGAAAGAGAUAAACCGAUUCCAAAAUUGGGGUAGCAGUAUCUCAGACUCUCUAGUGGACCAUUCAUCAUCUCUUUACUUCCCAUUAGCUCACUUCAAACCCGUGUUUGAAAACGUGGCCGUCUUAGUCGAUUAAUCAGUGAUUAAACGCUCGGUGGUUGGCUGCCAUCACGACCUGGGCAAAAUUGGUAACAAAAUUGGAGAAAAAAAUAUAAUGAUUCUUUUUUUGAGUUUCAAGGUUAGAAUUAAGAUAUUACAUGAUAAAUUUUUCAUAUUCAUGCUGAAACCAGGAAAACAAAAAUAGUGUUAAAACAGAGUUUUGAUGUCUCAAAAAUGAGUGGCUGUCAUUUUAUGAGUUUCUAAACUCGUGAAGUAUUAAUAAAAUCCUCUUUCCGUUUCACAAAAAAUGCCGUUUUAAAGUUUUAUUUUUAUCAUUUUAUGUUUCCAAUACAUAAUUCUAGACAAAAAUCUAAUUUUAACCUAUUAAUUUUAGUGUAUUAAUUGGAAAAAGAGAAAUUGCUUAAUAUAUUAACAAAAGGUAAUAUGAAAUAUUUAACAAUUUUAUUAAUAUGUGUAAAAAAUUUUAAAAUUACACUUUUUAUAAAAAAAGGGAGUAGAUGAUUAGAUAAUUGUUAUUUUAUCAUUUAUUUAUAAUAAAUGAGAAAAUUGACAAAUAAAUGCUAUAUGGGUUCGAAUUUGGCACAUCAAAGCAAAUGUCAAGUGUUAAAUCACUGGUCCACCGAAUAAUUAUAGCUUCUUACCAAAAUAUUAGAAAUAUAACUGUAUUAUUCUAAUUAUUUAUUUAAUUAUUUUAUUUAAAAAACUCUAAAACUAAUUUCUAAUUUUCUUUCUAAGCGCUAGGUUCAUCUUAACCGUUCGAAUAACGGCUAGCAAAGUUUUGAACAUAGCUUCAAACCAACAAUUUCAGGAAAAAGUAAUAUGUCUUCACUCCUAAGAUACGACCACUUAACUUAGUUGCACCUUCUUGUAUUUUCUAGUGGCUAAUGACUGAUUUAUCACAGGUAUUAUUACUUGUUUGAUGUUUUCCAAAAAAGUUAUUUAUCUCCAACAAUUAUAAUUAUUAUUACUAAUUUUUUGUUAAUGUUUUUUUUUUCAAAAACGAAACUGUAACAUCCCGAUUUCCGGUAUAUGGAAAGUCUUAUAAGGAUUGAUUUGGCUACCGAUGUCAAUAAAUAACAUUUAUCUUUUCUGGUCAAAUGUGCUGAGAGAACUCCAAAGUUAAGUGUGCUGAUGCUGGAGUGAUCUCCGGAUGGGUGACCUACCGGGAAGUACUCUAUGGUACCGUACGAGUGAGGACAAAGCACGGAGAACGAUCAUAUGGUGAUUGCCGGAACAGUAGAUAAGUCUUACAAGCUUUCCGGACUAACGACUCACGACCGUCGGAUAGUGGUGGACCAACGGAUUUAAAGAGGGCGUUGGGCCAACGGACCUAGAGAGAGGAUGUUGGGCCCACGGAUCUAGAGAGGGCGUUGGGCUCACUGGGAGAAACAGUUGGGGGAAUUAAGAUUGAUAUCGCUGAUCUACGUCUGGUCUCCAAAGGAAAGGCGGGAUCGGGGUGUCACAGAAACUAUCUAAAGUUUUUCUCAAAAAAAAAUAUUAUGAUACUAUUGUAUAAAAAUGUGGAAACGUAUCGAAAAUUACUAAGAAUUAAGCUACCUAAAACGUGGAUAAAGGGUUUUUUUUUGUGUUGAUCGGGAAAGGAGAGUUACUUAAAUUACGAGGAACCAACCUCAAAGUUCAGUUACAUCUGCCAAGUGGAGUCUACCUGCCACGAAGGUUCGUUUCGUUCAUGCAUUCACUGGACCGCCAAAAUUGAAAACUAAGGAACUUUUUUUUGUUUGUUAUCAAAACAAAACAAAAUUAAUUAUUUUUGAUAAAAAUAAUGGACCGUUGAUUGGGAAACACAAGAUUCCUAGCUAAAUCCCUUAAUCGAAGUUACUAUGAGAUGAGCUAAUUAGGAUUUGUGAAUUUGUCAACGUUAAUAUCAACGACAUUCACCAUUUUCAAAACUAACCCAAACUUAACCCAAACUAACCCUUCAUUUUCGCUUUGGCAUUUCUCGAUACUUUACAACCCAAACU